rnacentral:lncRNA from 1 species
UGUUGAUUUCUUUGCUUAUGGUUGCCUGAAUUUUGUUCUUAUCAUGAGGGACCACCUCAGUUUAGCUUGGUUGGGGUCUUCAAAAUUGCUUAUGAUUGCCAAGGACAACAGCAAUUGUUUCUCUGAAUGGGAGGCUUUGUAUCAUUCGUAACAACAUGAGCAUAAGUAUGGUUGCUGCACUACUGUGUGGUGGGGGAGAAAAGAAGGAGACAUGAAAAACGUUGGUACAUUGCUGAGGAAUUUGUUCCAUGCGUGUGUGGUGUUGUUGCUUGCAAGUGUGAAUGGCUUUUAUACUUUGCACAAAACGAAUCUGUUUUAUGCAAAGCUUUGUGCUGAGCUUUGUGUGAAUAUUGGUGAUGUUUGAGAUGAUGCCUGUGGAGACCAUAUCAUGCUGAUAUGUAGCAAUUUUUGUGGAGGGGCUGUCAUUGUUAUAGUGGUCCUAUAUCAACAUGUGACAACCUUAAUAUAUUUUGAGAGACAUUUUUUGUAUUUUGUAGGCUAAUAGGAUGGCUCAUAGACCAUACAUUUUUCUUUUGAUCUUUCCAUUUUACCCUUACCCUUUUAGUUUUCUAUUCACAUUUUAUAAGGGCAUAUUAAACAUGGGGGCUAUUGUACAUGACUACAUGUGCUAAACUCUAAUUGCAUCACCCGAAUUUUACCACCAACAAUAAUAAUAAUAGUUAUUAUUAUUACUAUUAUUAUUAGUAUAAUUAAUUAUAAUUACAAAUUAUAUAGUAAUAAUUAUUAUUAUUUAAUUUUGUACUAAGGACAAUAUUGAAAUUUUAUAAAUUAGGAGAAGGAAAAAGAGUGAGUUCAUCAAAUGGAAAUUCCACUCCUACCUUCCCAAUGAGAAUGAGAUUCUCAUUCCUCAUCUCAAAUUUGAUGGGCUUCAUUGAUUCCCUCCUCAUUUCCACAUGUAAAAUAAGCAAGUAAACAAUGAAAUUAUUUCCAUUCCUCCAUUCCAAUUCUCUAAUUUGAGAAAUAAACACACCCUUAAUUGAUAACUCACAUGCAAAGCACCCAUUGUGGGAGUCACGUAUGUGUGUAUGCUUGGCCAAUUCUACAUUUUUUUUUGGGAUUAUCGACUUAGUUUAAGAUUCGAAUUAGGAUUGAAAAAAAUCAAAUUCUUUUGUGGCUUGAUUUGCUUGGUUAUAAUUAGGGUAGCUAAUCCAAAUUAAAUAGGUCUCAUAAACACAGAUAGUGCUCUCGGUUUUCCUCUUCAACUUCUUCAUCAUUUUUAUUUUUUUCUUUUAUUGUUAUAGACAGUUACACUUAAGAGUCAAACCUCACAAAUUGCAACAGAGUUAUUAUAUCCUAAAGGUCAAUUCACAUUGUUCUUUCUCUUUCUUGUAUUGAAAAUUGUUUCUAAAGAAGCAAAAUUAGUCAUUAAGAUAGUGCUUCUUCAUGCCUUGACAUUGUUGUAUUGACGGAUUCACCGUUGUCACUGGUUUGCUGCUGUAGCUAGGGGUGGGCAUGGGUUGGUUUGGGUUGGGUUGGGUUUUUUGUCAACCCAAACCAAACCAUAAAAAUUUGAACCCAACUCAAACCAAUCCAAAUAUUUUUAACCCAACCCAAACCAACCCAUUUGGGUUUGGUUUGAAUUUUGUAAUAAAAUUAUUUUUUAUUUUGAUAAAUUUAAUUAUAUCAAAAUUACAAUAAUUAUUAAUAAUUAUUAAAUUAAUAUUAAAAAAUGAAAAAAUAUAGUCAAAAAAUUAUAAAUAAUAGAUUUCACAAUAACUUCGUCCUUAAAUAUUAACCAUAUUACAAUACAAAUUCUAAUAAUGAUAAUACAAAUCAAAACAAGAUAAGACAUCCAAAUCAAGUAUCAAAACAAUCCAUCAUAAUUAUUCCAUCUGCAGCACUUUAAUCAAAAGAUCUCAUGAUCAACUGAGUCUGCUCCUUCACCAACAAAUAAAUAACAAAAAAAGAAAAUUAUAAUGUUGAAUAGUUAUAAAGAUGAGUAAAUUUAAAAAGGAACAUGAUUCAUACCAAAAUCGUAAGAAUAACAUCAAUCUAAAGUCAUUGCCUCCGUUGUUGCACUUGAUCUAAACUCUACAUUAAAUAAAAAUAAAUUAAUAAAAAAAGACUAAUGAUAAACAAAUAUAUAAUUUUUUUCGCUUGUUAUGAUAAAUAGUAGUUACCUGAUAUCAUGGCUUCAUAAAACUCAAACUCCUCCAUUGUUGGUUCAUCUUGUAAUUGGACAAAAGUGUUACGUAACCAAUUUUGUGAGCAUAUCAAAGCUUCCACCAUCUUUGGACUUAAAGAACUACGAAAUGAAUCAAUGAUGCGUCCUCCAGUACUAAAUGCAUAUUCUGAAGCUACUGUAGAUAUUGGAAUUGCAAACACAUCCUUUGCAAUAUGUGAAAGAACUCGAUAUUUUAUUGAGUUCAUUUUCCACCAUGCCAAAAUCUCAAAGUCGUCGUCAUCAACAUGUUCACAUGGCUCCAACAAGUACCUCUCUACUUCAUUUUUCAUCUCAACACAAUCAUCUUUUCCUAUUCUUUGUUUGAACUUUGCAACACUUGAAAGUUUAGAAAACCCCACAUUUUUUAUCAAAUUUCCUACUAUCAACAAUUGACGACUUAAUAGCACCACUAGAUGAUCCACAGCCACCAAUCCUAGUGUCAAGAUCUUUAUAGUAUUCAUAAAGACGUAUUAAACGAUUUUUCACCUCUUCAGACUUCUUCCCAACCUCAUCAAUAACAAAAAUGUCUUCAAAGCAAAAUCUCACAUAUUUUAACUUAUAACGUGGAUCAAGAAUAACCGAAAUAAGCAACAAAUUAUUUAACCUAUCAAUUGAACCCCAAUAUUUGUCAUACUUAUUUUUCAUACCUGUUGCCAUUUUAGAUAAAACAACAUCAUCACCACUUUCAAUUAAUGAUGUCAAAUCGGAAUGAAUUGAGCACAUUUCAUGAAAAUAUAAGUUUGAAGUCACGUACAUUGAUCCACUAAAUUUCAAAGUUAUAUCAUAAAAUGACUUCAAAAACAACACAAAAACAUUAGCAUUUUCCCAAUCAUCACUAUUAGGGGGUCCUCCAUCUUCUUUGAAAUAUAAAACAUAACGUCGAUCAUCAUCCUCCAUUCUCUCAAAAGCCUUUUGAAACUUUAAAGCACUCUCCAACAUUAAGUAAGUGGAAUUCCACCUAGUAGACACAUCUUGAACUACAAGACCAGCACCUUCAAUUCUUUCAUGCUCCACACAUAUUUUAAAUUUUUUUAGCCUUGCAGGAGAUGACUUUACAUAUUUGACAGCAUUACGAAUUCUAGAAAUUGACACAUGUAAGUCUUUCAACCCUUCAUUCACAAUUAAAUUCAAAAUAUGCGCACAACAUCUCAUAUGUAAAAAGUCACCAUCUAGCACAAGCCCAUUCUCACUCUAAUUCUUCAAUUUCUUUUUGACAUAAUUGAUAGCUAACUCAUUUGAAUUAGCAUUAUCAACAGUAAUGGUAAAUACCCUUUCUACACCCCACUCAAGUAAACAAGACUCAAUUACCUUUCCAAUUGUCUCCCCCUUAUGGUCAGGUACUGUGCAAAAAUUUAAAAUUCUUUUCUGCAAUUUCCACUCACUAUCAAUGAAAUGGGUUGUUAUCACCAUAUAGUAAUAAUUUUGUAUAGACGUCCAUGCAUCUGCGGUUAUACAAACCCUUUGCUUAUUUGAAACAAAAAAGUUCCUCAAUUUUUGCUUUUCAUCCCAAAAAAGUUUGUAUACAUCUCUAGCAAGGGUUCUCCUAGACGGUAGAUCAAAGUUUGGUUCCAAUUGUUUACUAUAUUGUUGAAAGCCCUCUUUCUCCACAAAACUAAAGGGUAAUUCAUCAAUAAUAAUUAACCUUGUAAGGGCUUUUCUACAUGCUUCUUUAUCAAAGACAUGAGACUUAGAUUUGUCUUUCAUUUCAUGUGAAGUUGUUUGAUUUUCAUCCUCAAAUGUGUUCAAAUAAUCAGGACAACGCAAUAAAUGAUUCCUUAAUGUACUAGUCCCCAUUUUAGUCCCAUGUUUAUUCUUACAAGCAUAGUCAUUACUACAAUAAUUACACUUGCAUCUAUUAUCUGGAUCGUAUUUAGUGAAAUAUUCCCAUAUUUCCGAUCUCUCUGAUGGCUUUUUCCUCUUGCUCUGAGUAGUUGCCAAAGUGUCCGAAGAAUAAGUACCAUGACAACUUGAGUUCUCAUCCAUCUAAAAUUAAUUGAAAAAAAAAUCAUGUAACUUUAAGCCAAUUCAACAAAAAAAUUUACCAAAUAUAAGGAAUAACAACAACAAUGGCAGUAAUUAUAACUGGAAAAAAAAAAUCAUGAGUUAUGGUAGUGUUAUUUAUACAUAAACAUAAAAGAGGCAUUCCAUACAAAAUUACAAAUCCCGAAUAUGUGAAAAAGCUGGAAAGCCAAGCAUCACUAAUUAUUAUUAAAGAAGUUUGCAGUACAAUGGUCCAAAAGUAAGAAUACAAUUAAUUAAGCAAGCAAACUCUGAUACAGUUCAGGCUUGAGGGCAUCAUUGUUGUGCUCUUCUGUCGUGCCUUCCUGGGGGUUACUUUUCUGCUGCUUGUAUAAUUAAUUAAGCAAGCAAACUCUGCAGUUGGUUUAUUAUGUAGUUAAUUUAUGCACCAGCAGCUGUAAGUGAUCUUUUCUUUGGCAUUCAUCAUUUUUAUCACUCUAUUCCUUAGACUGUUGUUGUUGUAUUGUUCACGGUAAGAGCUUAGCAAAAUUACAAAUCCCGAAUAUGUGAAAAAGCUGGAAAGCCAAGCAUCACUAAUUAUUAUUAAAGAAGUUUGCAGUACAAUGGUCCAAAAGUAAGAAUACAAUUAAUUAAGCAAGCAAACUCUGAUACAGUUCAGGCUUGAGGGCAUCAUUGUUGUGCUCUUCUGUCGUGCCUUCCUGGGGGUUACUUUUCUGCUGCUUGUAUAAUUAAUUAAGCAAGCAAACUCUGCAGUUGGUUUAUUAUGUAGUUAAUUUAUGCACCAGCAGCUGUAAGUGAUCUUUUCUUUGGCAUUCAUCAUUUUUAUCACUCUAUUCCUUAGACUGUUGUUGUUGUAUUGUUCACGGUAAGAGCUUAGCAAAAUUAAUCAUUGUGUUACAUCAAAUGCAAAUUUAAGCAGUACCGUGUUGUCUUAUGAAUCAGAACAAACAAACAACAAUACAUUCAAUUGCUUCCAUAUGCAUUCCGUAAUGAGUAUGAGGUCCGCUCUUAAGAAUUUUCAUUUAUUUGUAUGCUCAAUAUUUGUUAGCUAACAUGAUGAUACAUGAAAAUACUACCCAAAGUGAGCCAUUAUAAUUUCAACAAUAUUUAUUAUGAUGAAUCCUAAAUUUCUGCACUCUGUCUUUAGUACAAUGGUUGUAAGGAUACAAUCACAAGCUAAGUUAACAAAAAUAAUGGCAUAAAAAACAGCACUGAAAGCCCAGAUGAUAAUAUUUUCUAGAAUUUUUUUUUCACAAUUCUUUAAAUUGUACAUGUGGUAGCAAUGAUCUAUGAAAGAAUUAGUUCAUAAGAGCUCAAUCAAAUUCAUAUAUCAGCAAAUUAUUUUCGGCAUAUUCAAGUGUGAGUGGUUUCAUCAAUUCCCCAUUCUCUAAUUCCAAGCAUACCCAUUACCAAAUAACUGGAAAAAAAAAAAAUGAAGCUUUUGCAAAAAAAAACCUCACCUUAGAUCAAUAGAAAGGCUGUAAUCGAAGUGGGGUCUUCAAGAGUUGAUGAAAAUCGACUGAGAGAUUCGUGACAGCACUUUUGUUGACAGAGAUUGUGGAAGAUAGAGUGAGAGAUUAUGGAAGAUAGAGUAUCAGUGAGAGUCAACAGUUCUAAUGAACUGGGGAGUGAUGAAUGCGAGACUAUGGAAGUGAAAAUAAUGGAAUUAAUUUAAUUUAAUUUAUUUUAUUUAUUUUAUUUAUUUUCCACUCACAGCUCACCUUGAAUUUAUCUAGCCCAUGGGUAAACCAUACCCAAACCAUUAUAAAAUGGUUUUCCCUAUAAAAACCCAAACCAAUCCAUUUUAAUGAUUUAUCCAACCCAAACUAUUUUAUUUGGUUUGAGUUUGGGUAAACCUAUGGGUUGUGGGUUUAUGCCCACCCCUAGCUGUAGCCAUGUUUUUUGCUUUGAAGUUAUAGUUCUUGUUGUUAUUUGGGUUUAUCUUAUGGUUUUGCUCAAUUUUUUCAAUGAAAAUCAUCCAAUUAAUGGUAUAUUGAUACAUGAAUUUGUAAAAAAAAAAAGAAAAGACAUGCAUGAGUUUGUAUUCCUAAUAUUAUUUCUUUUCAAAUAUACAAUAGAGCAUAAAUCGCCCACAUAUGUCAGGAAACAAGUGUCAAGACAACUUGUGUCAUUUUUAACCCAAUUUAAUUUUAAAUUAAAGGAAAAUUAUCACUUGUAUACUUUUAAUUUGCUCGGUUAUCAAACAUAUUACAAUACUUUUACAGUGUGUCAAAAGUCCGUCCUAAGUUGACAAAAUAUAUUUGUCAUCUAUUAAAUCGUUAGUUGUCAUUUAAAUGUAAUGACAUUAGAGGAUAAUAUGGUAUUUUCAUAUGAAAAUAAGGGAUACAAUGGAUAAUUUAAGGGCAUGCAAAUGAUAAUAUGACAAGUCAAAGGUAAACAAGUGAUAAUUUCUCUUUACCUUAAUUUGAGUUAUAAGGGCAAAAUCCUCAAUUUGCUAUAAUUCUGUUAAUUUUCAAACAGCAGCUUACAGUUUAGUGGAUGGCAGACACGUUUUGUCGACUUAGUGUAAGCAACUGAUAUAUAUUAAAAGUGUCAUACUACGUUUGAUAAAAGUGUAUCUUAAGAGUAUACGGGUAAUAAUUUUCCUAAAUUAAACUCCAAUUAAAUUCGAUCAAUAAUCAAAUCUAAUCCAAUUAUUUUAUAAAACUUGCACAUCACUUAUUAUUAUUAAGUUAGGCACAUUAAGAUUUAAUAAUUUAAUAAAUUAUUUACGAUUACAAAAACUACUUAGCACCUGGCCACUCACCGAUUAUCAAUUACAAAAACUACUUAGCACUUAGCCACUCACCGAGUAUGAACACAACAAAAAAUGGAAAGAAGGAAAACGGCGCGGACGACCAAAGGUGAACACAAUUGUUAUUUGUUAAAGUAAAAAGAUUUUUUUUAAUAUAAUAUUACAGAAUACAACCGAAGCUCAACACAUAAUAUAAAUGAGUACGAACUUUGUGAAUAAUUUUUUUAAUAGGGCUCGGUGCUUGAGUUGGUGACUUGUAGAAGUUAAAAUGUCAAUAAAAUUAUAGGCUUUAAUUAUUUUUGAAAAGUUAAAUAUGAUAGUGAUAUGUGGUAUUUUUUUCUCUUUCUUUUGUUAAAUUAAUGGAUGGAAUAAAAAGUUUAUAUAAAUUCACCAUCUAAUUUAUUAAUUUUUAAAUAAAAAUCAUUAAAAUUGAAUUGUUCUUUUGUUUGAUAUUGAAUUUUGUCAAAGUAUAUUAGAUAGACUUAGUUAGCAUUUGUUUUCUUACAUAAAAUUUGAAUUAGUCUGAAUUUUUUCAAAGCAUGAAUGAAUCUAAAUACAAAUCUCUAAAUGACAAAUUUGUUUUUUUAAUAUCUUAUUAUAAGUGGUAUUUUAUUUUUUUUUAUAAAUAAAAAAUUUGUACCCUUCUAAAUCCAAUCAGAAAAAACGAAUUAAGUUUUGUAGUUUGGCAAAUAAAUAUUUUAAAAGAGAUAUUUUUCAGGAUAUAAUAUUUACUUUAGAUUUAGUCAUUUUCUCAUUCAGAUAAAAAUUACAAAAAUUCACUUUUUUUAUUUAAAUAUAUAUGACCGAAAAUCAUACUUAAGUUGUAAAAAAAAAUUAAAUUUUAAAAAAGUUAAAAAUUAAUAAAAUUUUAAACUUCAAACGCCUAACAAGGAAGCUCUUAGACUACUUUUUUCUUAAAUUUAUUUUAGUAAAAGUUUCUUAUACAUGCAUACUUAUAUAUGAUAUCGGACCCAACUACCACGGUACCCUCUAUUUUGUCUUUCUUUGCUGUCACCUUAUUAGGUCUAAUCAUGAAAGAGUAGGAUAUGUUGAUUUCGUUAUUAGCACUGCAAUCUUGUUGAAUAUUGAAAUUCUAAAAAAAAAAAUUGGCACAUAAAUCCAGAUUGUUUCAACUAAUUUAUAAACACCCAACAAAUCCAAUUCCCAAAAUCCUAAACCCUAACCUAUAAGCACCCUCACUCGUGCAGCCACAUUUCUUGGGCCAUGUUUGGCAAUGGCGACCUGGCUUCAAAGUUCACACGGCCACAAUUGGCUAUGGCCCGCCCUAAAUGCUUCUGUUGCCUUCACACUACUUGCUUCAAACUUUUUGUAUGGCCAUAGUUGUUAGUUUUAGACCUGGAAUUCUCUGAAAUUACAACCGUAGUUGGAAGUUUUUGAAAUUGAUUCGAUAAAAUUUGAAUCUUGAACAUCCAUGUCCGAUGAAAAUUGAAGCCAUUUUUUUUUGGGUUAUUUGCUGAGAUUGGCUUUGACCAUCUUUAUGUGUAUGUAUGCUACCUCACUUUGGCGUGUGACACCUUCCAACACGCCACCACCCAAGUUAUAGGUUUGAUUUGUCGAAGAUGAAUGGGAAAAUUAAAUUGUAAUCCAUACAUACAUGCAUACAUACAUACCAUGUAAUAAUUGUACUGUAAUUUUGUCUUAAAUUCACACAAAGUUGAGAAUGCUAGGUUAGUUAUGAUGUUUCAAAAUAAAAUAAAAACACAUAAAAAAGGUGAUACAGAACAACUCCUCCUAAAUACAAGUACUAUUUCAUUCGGCGAGUUAAUUUUCAGGAUUUCAAAAUUACAACAAGUCAUUUAGCCAUUAGGUUGCUAAGAUUGUAUACAUUGAUUAUAUAAUUAACUAGUUAAUUAGAUAGGCAUCGGCUAAUUUAUAAAUACUUUGAUUUAUCAAUAUUUUGAGGCUAUUCAAUAAUAAAUAAAUUAGAUACUAUUCAAUAAUAAAUAAAUUAGAUAUUUUGAGAACUAAUAAGGUUAAUUUAAAUUAUUUAUAAGUUUAAUUUCUUCCAAUAUUUCAGCAUUAUAUAUUGAUAUAAUUAAAUAAGUUAUCUCCAUAACGAAAGAACUAAGCAAGUGCAAAAGUAAGAUAAAACCCUAAGUGCGAAGGCCGACAGGAAAUAGAAAAAAUAAAGUUUUAAAAAAUAAAAAUUUCGUAUGUAUUGAUUUCAUGCAUGUAAUGUGUGUUUCAGGGACACAAAAUAGUGGUGUUUUUUUUCAAGAAGAUAUGGUAAGUCAUAAGCCUUGUACCUUAGAAAAUGAUAAUUCGUCGCGAAUGACUCAACCAAUAAUUUGGUGGCAAAAUAGAGACGAUUGGUUGAGUCUGAAUUUGGGCCGUUUGUUCACAUGGUUUCAGAAUAAAAUCAAGAAAAACUACACGCUUGUGGAUUGCAUUUUAAUUAGGGAACUACAUACCAUUUUAGAAGAAAAUCAAAAUACUAAAUCUUUUCCAUUUAAAUAAGUUUACAAUACGGUUCAUACAAAAUAUGCUAGCCAUAAUAGUAAUAAUAAUAAUAAUAAUAAUAAUAAUAAUAAACUUUUGUCGAUAUUAAUAUAAAAGAUGAGAGAAUGGGUAUAUUUGAAACCACAAAUAAAAUACUACUCUAGACCCACUUUUUUAAUUAAUUUUUAUAUUAUUAAGAUACCCAUAAUCUAAUUUAAUUAUGAUUAAGGACGACAUAAUCAUAUAUAUACGAGUGAAUUGAAACUAAACUCGAGAAAUGGACUAACUUUAUUAACUCUGAUUUUUCUAAGCAACGAAACAAAACAUUGAUCUGCACAUGGGUGGGAAAGGAAAGUGGAAGGAAAGGAAGGGAGGAGAAAUUAUGAUUUUCCAUCUCUUCCUUUUGGAUAAAUAGAUUGGAAACGUGCAUGUAAGGCUUUAUUUUCUCUGACAAUAAUUUUGAAAGCAACCUUGGCUGCUUCGAGAAGCAAUUGCGUGGAAAACCACUAAGCAAUUUUUGUUUUCCAUCAACGUAAUUUUAUUGAUUGGUUUUUUUUUUCUCCCCAAUAAGUGAAUGUUUGAUAAAUUAACAAUCUUGAUUAAAUAAUAUAAUUUUUUUGUCCUGAUUAGAGUCAAUAUACUAAAUUAAUAAUCAAGUUAAAUGCAUAAAAUAAUAAUUUUGUUUUUCAAAUUCUUUAGGGCUCAAUGAAAAUGUAAAUUAAUAAAUAAUCAGAUAAAAAAAUAUUGAAAAUGAAUAACAUAUAAAAUUUAUAAUAUUAAGAUUUUUUUCUUCUUAAUUACAAAUCGAAUUUUCUCACUUCAAUUCUUUUUCAUUAUUUGAAUAUAAUGAUUUGAAACUAAAAAUAAAACUGAUGAUGGAUGAAUGUAUUUAUAGAAUUUAUGUUUUAGGUAUUUUAAGAAACCGAAACACUUUAAGGUAUUAAAUUAAAAAAAUGGGAAAUUAUCAUUGCACCACUUUUAUUUUACCUUAUGUUCAUCCAACCACUAUAAAAUUUUAACAUGUACUUUGCACCACUUUUUUUUUUACAUUUGUAUCAACUAGCCACUUUUGCAUUAAAUAAUUCUAAUUUUGGGAUUUAUUUUUUAUUAAAUUUAGGGAUAUUUUUAUGAUUAUACUUUUUAAUUUUAAAAAUUUUUAUGAGAUAAAAUAGUAUUUUAAUUUAUUUGGGGGUAAAAUUAUCAUUUUAUUAAAAUUAUUUAAUAGUGUUAAUGCAAAAUAGGCUAGUUGAUACAAAUGUGAAAAGAAAUGUGGUACAAAGUACAUGUUAAAAUUUUGUAAUGGUUGGAUAAACAUAAGGCAAAAUAAAGGUGGUGUAAUGAUAAUUUCCCUUAAAAAAUACAUACAUUAAUUUUAUGUUUACGUACAAUAUAUUUACAUUAACUUUGGGCUUCUACAUACAUGUUCAUAUCAUAUGUGUUACAUACAUGAUGACUUUUGAACUUCGAAUUUUUUUAAUUAAUAAAUAUACAUUUACCCAUAAAUUAAAAAAAUAUUGAUUUAUUAAUUAAUAAGUAAUCUUAUAUAUAUAUAUUUAUUUUUAAAAAAAAAAUCUUGCUAGCUAUCCCAUCAAUACCUCAAAUCAUCAUUCAGCCAUAUUCGAUACCCAAUAUCUUAAAAUUAGAUGCCCAAUAUCUUAGUUUUAUACACUUUUGAUGUUGUAGUUUUACACUUACUCCCAUAAAAAAAUUACUACAAUUUGGUGCUUAAUUUUCAUACUAGAUGUCCAUAUCUGCUCGGUUGUCUACUUGUAAAUACUAUAUGGAAUGCAAAGUUUCUGCAAUGGCCUUGUUCAUUAAUUUGUCAAAAAUAAUGCACGAGUGCAUUAAAUAGUCAUUUCUAAAAAGAAAACAGAGUUUGUAAAGUAAAAAAAAAAUAAAAAAACAGAUUUCUUAGGAUUAAUAAUAGAUAGAGAAAUAAUAAAAUAGUUUAUAGUAGUAAAAUUAUAGUGCGAAAAUUGCAAAUACAAAAUGUGUUUCAAUUUGUUGCAUGUACGCAGAGCUAAGUUCAGGACCAUGGUAAAAGAAAAGAGGAGGGAGGGGGGGGGGGGGAAGAACUUAAAUUUGAUAAUCAAUGAGGGAAUCCAUAGAAAAAUUAAAUCAGUUUUAUUUCCUUUUCUUUUUCUCUGUACAUGAAAAGGAAUGGACCAGACCUACUACACCUAUUUGAUUCAAUAUGGCAUGGAAUCUAUAUCAUCUACAUCUGGUUCUGACCUAAUUUAAAAAGCAUAAAGCAAAAAUAAAAUGUAAAAAUUGACAACUAAAUUCCUAUCGUUUAAAAUGGAGACCGAGAACCUGAUUGUCAGUAAAUUUAUUUAUUUGAAUGAAGAUAUUCGUAUCAUAAAAUAUUGUAUGAUAAUGUACAUCGAGUUUAACGUAUAUAUAAUGCCCUUAUCUCAUUUUAAAUAGAAGACUACAUAUUCUAAUGAAAGAGGAUGUGGAUGAUCAUACAUUGAUGAAACAAUAAGAAUUUAACUCUCUACUAUCUACAUUUAAAAAUGAUUAUCUCUUAAUUAAACUUUUUAAAAUACAACAUCCUGUAAAUAUAUUAUUAUCAAAUAAAUGAGUAAAAAAAAAUCCUUAUAGCCUCUAUAUAAUUAGGGUAAAAACUCAUUUAGUCCAUGCAUUUUAAGAUUAGUGUCCAUUUAGGCCCUAUAUUUUUAAAAAUGUCUCGAAAUAUCAUUGAUGUUAAAGUAUUGAUACCCCUACCGUUACUUUUUAUUUCUUUUGACUUACUUUUACAAUAUUACCUUUUUAUAAUGAUUUUUUGGACAUUGAUAAAAAGAAAAUAAUUAAAUUACCAAUUUAACCCUAGAAAAUUAAAAAUAAAUUAUAUUAGUUUUUUUGCAAGCACUAUUUGCACACUUGGUAGUUUGCAUAUAAUUUUUUACAAUUAAAAAUUAAUCUAUUUUUUUAGGGUUAAAUUGGUAAUUUAAUUAUUUUCUUUUUAUUAAUAUCUAAACAAAAAAAUUAUUAUAAAAGGGUAAUAUUGUAAAAGUAAGAUCAAAUAAAUAAAAAGUAACGGUAGAUGUAUCAAUAUUUUAACGGCAAGAAUGUUUCCAGGUAUUUUAAAAAAUAUAAUGACUAAGUGAAUACUAAUAUUAAAAUAUAGAGACUAAAUGAACUUUUACCCUAUAUAAUUAUUAUCAAGCGUGGAUGUUAAGUUACGAAUUUGAUCUAUACACAAUUAUAUACCAUGUUUACAUAACGUUAGCAUCAUGCUUACAAGUCUAAAACUAUUUUGCACUUUUACUCAGCCUGAUUUAAAAUGAUGCUAAACGAAAAUAGAUAGAUAUAGAUAGAUAUCAUAUCAAGGCAUCGAGUCUCUGUCGAAGAGAAAAUAGAGAAGGGGGAAGUUGACAUGAGAGGAGGAUAGCAAGCCAAACCAAAGAAAGCCUCCACCGCACCAAUCCCCUCCAUUAUCAAAAUUAAAGAUUCCCUCGAGAGGCGUGUGCUCCUCUUAUGCCUAGGUGGGCCCCGGAACCCCCACAUGCUGGUUGGUCCCACAUUCAUUUUGAUGAAAUGACCCAAUCACCACCGCACUGGCUGCCUCUCCCUCCACCUUUAAAUAGCAGCUCGCUGCAGGUCUUGAACAUAUCAUCACAGCAAAGCAAAGCAAGUUUCGUACAAUAAAGAGCCCUCUAUUUCCAGUUUUAAGUUCCAAGUUCUAAGCUCAAUCAACAUGUCGGACACCUGCGGCAACUGCGACUGCGCUGACAGGAGCCAGUGUGUGUAAGUAUAACGGAAUCAAUCAAGUGAUACUGUGGUUGUGUUCAUAUCCUUGCAUGGUUGUGGAGCUCAUAUUUUUCGGAGCCUGGGGCAACCUUUUACUGCUAAGCUCAUGAACUAUAUAUUUUAUGCACUUGCAGGAAGAAGGGAAGCAGCUAUGCUGCUGACUUUGUCGAGACUGACAUGAGGUACUUACUUUAAGAACUCUCAAAGGCACAACAAGAAACUAAACAAAUCAAACUCGACAUAACUUGAGGGCUAAGUUAUAUAACUUAAGAUUGAAGUCAAUAGAUAUACCCUGUGAUUUCUGUGGGGGUUCUAUUUUUGGCCUUGGUUGAUGGUAAUUUUUUUUUUUCCUCUCUGUUGGUAUGCAGCUUUGUCAGCACCGUUGUUGUCAUGGACGUUCAGGCUGCUGAGACUGAAGGUGACUGCAAGUGCGGCACCACCUGCGCUUGUGUGAACUGCACUUGUGGUAGUCACUAAUAAGCAAACACAUGCAGCAACAAAUAAGAAGCUGCAAGUGUGCCUAAAUAUUGUGGGGGUUAAGAAUAAUGUAAGGGUGAUUAAAAAGAAAAAGAAAAAUUCUCUGCUUCGUUUUUAUGAUGGUCUACUACUAGUGUGUGGAGUGAUGUGCGUGUUGUGUCACCCAUCACUCGUAAUGUUUUGUGUUUCCUUCUUCAUAAUCAUGUAAUAUAUGGCCAUGGCCAUGACCGUGGCCUUGUGUGGUUUAAGUUUAAUGUAUUAUUGUUAGUCUACAGCCAACUCUCCCUAUCUUUCUCAUCCCCUAUUUUUCUUCCAGUCUCGAAGGUGGGAGGAGAAAUUUAUUAACAUGCUGUAGUAUGCACAUAAGGAUUCAUACCCUUAAACAUCAACAUAUAUAGUACCAAAUUUGUAGCUCACCGAUGUAAUUCACAAGAAUACUAUAAGGAGUGGUUUCGACAUAAGCAGCAAGAGCAAAAUUCAGUAAUAAGAAAAGGGGAAAGAUAUGUAUAAACCAGUUUUUUUUUUUUUUUUCCUUUUUCCCUCUUCUACUAAUUAUUCGAGAUUAUGCAGUUACACAAAUCAAGACCGUAACCCAGCAAAAAUAAAACUUUGAUUAUCCAUGAGAAGGAGAAGUUUCAAUAUACUACUAUAUUUCAUUUUUCUGGAAAGGGCUCGUAGCUGAUUAUAUCUUCUGGACAAGGGCACCCUAGCUCAACUUGGCUGUAACUAUCUGUUUGAUCAAUUUGAUUUAACAAAUUCUUUCUUGGGUUGCUUCAAGAAAAACAUGCAGUGCAUUAUCUCUUGAUAAGCUUGUUUUACUUUACCAAUAAAAAAGAUUAAUUUUUCACAACUAGAUUUAAAAAAUAAUAAUUAAAAAAAAAUCAGUAAUGCUUUGACCUUUAUAUCCAACCUCAACUUAACUUGAUAAACACGUCUAAUGUUUACGGUGACCAUCUCAUUUCUCAUCAAUUUGGAUGAAACAUAAAGAACAAGGAAUAUGUAAACCAAUUUUAGCCAUUAUCACUUAAAAAAAUUCUGAUAACAAAAUCACAUCAAAAAGUACAAGUAUAGCAAUCAAAAGCCAAGGAAAUAUGUUCUUCCUUGCUUUAUUCCUCUUUAAGUUUAAAAUCACCUGUGGUAUGCUAAUUUGAAAUUUAAUGUCAGUAUGCCCAAGUGGGUUGCAAUCAUGAACUCAACUAUCUCCAACAAUCUCAAACAUUAAAGCCCUCGGCACGGAGGCACUUACGAUGAGCCUCAAUCCAUUUUGCACAUGCCUCUUCACCGUGUUCCACUAUACAUUCAUCUCUCAGCUUCUUAGUCUCGGGGCAGGCACAGCAGAUCUUCUUCUUUGGUUUUGACUCCGUACCAGAUUUUGUGACUUCCAAGCCUUGGUUCGGCUGUGAUCCCGGCAAAGCCAAGGUAGAGGAAGCAUCUUGCAGAGGCAGUCCACCCAUCGUCACAAAUCUUUCAAGAAUUCAAGAUGCCGAAAUGAAUGGUGCUAAAGGGCAAAAAGGAAAAAAGGACAUCAAAUUCAAAGCAGAAAUAAACUUGAGAUGCUGAUGGAUGAUAUAAGUCUAGUAUUCAACCAAAUGAAUUUCAAAAUGAAUGCAAAACCAAAAUUCAGAGAAAUAACUACAGGUUUGCGAUGUAAGGCAUCGAUGUUUAGCAUCCAGUACAUUGUAGUUUUAGUUUGUAUUCAUUUUUCGGAUAGCAAGCACAUAAUUAUAAAGGACCAAAACAACAUUACAUGUUCAAAAGACUGAAAAUGAACUUGUGAAACGUAAUGACAUAUGCUGCAUCACUGCCACAUAUAUCAAUCCUUUCAUCAUAAUUUUUCUGUCCUUCUUUUCCAAGUCGUAUACAGACCUAAUUCUUCUGCUAUUGAUAUCUCAAAAUCUUUUAUUUGCCAAUAUUAUAAUCCAUAAAAGAACGGGAACAAAUAACCUAUGCUGAGAACGCAAACUUCAUCAAGUAAAAUGAUCUAAUAAAUCAACUUCGAUAAGGAAAAAUAAAAAAUAUCUAGUAAACUAAAGAAUCAGUAAUCUAUUCAAUAGUCAAAAUCACAACAAAAUGUGCCCCUAUUCCAACGGUUCAAUGUUGCAAUGCUUAAGAAUUCAAAGCAACAUCUUAACAAAUGUAUUUGCAGCUGAACAAACAAAACUGAAGACUCAUAAGAGGCUCAAAAUUUUCCUGGAUACCAUUUGCUCAUAACUCAUCGACGCAAGAAGAAAAAUUAAUAAUGCAAAGCUAGAUAUUAAGAAAAGACUCCAACAAGGGCUUGAAUCUUUUCCAGACACCAUUUGCUCUUAUAAUUCAACUAAUUUGUUAGCGAAGCAGCCAGCCUGAGCAACCUGACAGCACCAACUUAACCUUAAUCAAACUACUCACGCAUCAAAAAAACAUCAUGCCUAAACCAACUAAUACUAAAUUUAAAAACCAACAUACACAGAAGAAACAGUUAAAAUUUUACUUUAAAAAAUAAUUUUUUUGGGCAGUGACUCUUUAAAGAUUUUAAUCAAACAGUUGGUGAGCCAUAGUAAAUUUUCCAAAUAAUCAAUACCAAAUCGAAAAUACAAAAAUACUCGCACACAAACUCACAAAUACAAAAAAUAAUCAAACACAAAACCACAUACCAAUAAGCCUUAACACGGGUAUAGAAUAUAAAGUAACCAUAUUUAAACAUGGGCAGCGUUUACUUCACAUUAUCAGAAACAAAUUUAUAAUCUUUUUAGAGAAAAUUUAACUGAAAAAAAUCGAAAUAUGUAAAAACAAGGCAAUUGAAAGAGUCUCACAGUUGAAUUUCUCCAGAAGCAGCCGUGGCUGAAGAAAGGCUUACGUUUGAGACUGGAAAACCAAAGGAAGAGAAGAAAAAAUAACAAAGUUAGUGGCGCGCCGGGUCGGGUAUUUAAAGUUUUAUUUCGGCCUUCUUGGCCUGGCCCAUGUAGACCAAUUGAACAACAAUGCCUUUUUAAUAUUUUAAUUAGGCAAAUGCUGACAAAGUUAAGUUCAAAGUAAAACAAUAGGUACCUCUUAAAAUAUUUGAAAAUUAACAUUUGCAUUACCUUUUUUUUUUAAUUUUUAUAAUCUAUAUUGGAUAAUCCAAUUUGGAUUUACUUCUAUCUUUGUCCAAAUUCCAAUUUUAAUUAUUAAAAAAAAGAAUAAUAAGAAAAUUGAAACUUUACGUGAGAUUAAUAGUGUUAUUUGGAUAUUUGAGCAUUUUCCAAUAAGCUUUCUGGGUAAAAAAAAAAAAAAAAAAAACUGUGAAUAAAAUAGGAGAUUUUUAAUGGGGUAAUGCUCCUCAAGUAUUAUCCUCAUGGCAGUUGCUAAGUUAUAUAUAUUAUAUGUAAUAUACAACAACCGAAAAGAAUGGUAACAUGUGAAAAGUUAUGAAUUUUAAAUUUGUUGUGAGUUACAUCAUACCAAGAUCCCUUCCCUGCUCAUAGAUCAUAACGUUUUUGGCAAACCACAGCACUAGAAGCUCAAAUCAAAUGUUCAAAGGUACAAAUGCUGCUGGGGACCUUUUUGGAAAGCUGAGACGUCAUGGGGGUAAAAAGAGCGAGCCAACACUCUUUGGGUUACAUGCCAGUUGGCACAAUAAUGUCCAUGAAUGAUAAAAACUGAACAACGAAUCCCUCCCUCUGCUUUGGAGAAAAAGAGUGCAAUUACAUACAUAUUCAUCCGUGCAAUGUGAAACUGCUAAGAGUAGAGACAUGACUAACACAAAAGCAAGCAAAUUUAUAAAAGAUAGUCAGCAAAAAAAAAAAAAAAAAAAAAAAGCAGCAGCAGCAUGUAAAUUUACAGGAAGUUUCAUGAAAUCAAAAAGGCCUAAAGCAGCAGCACCUUUACAUCAUGUGCGGAACAACAACAUAAAACACAUAUGCCCCGAAUCCAGAUCCACUUUUUCUUACACUUCAAGCACGUUCUAGAUGCAGAACACCCGGAUUCCAGCCUGCAAAUUGCCUCGAAUAAAACACAAAACUUACUUCUAAUCUAAGACUGUUUCCACAAUCUACAACAGAAUGCAAGAUAACCCAGAGUUAAAAGACCAAUUUCGAUCAAUCUUCAACCGGCAAAGUUUGCAAUUCACUUCAACUAAUCGUACUUCUCCCUCCAUGAAUACACAAGCAAGAACACCCAAGAAAGAGCCAGUACAAUAUCUCCAACAACCUGCCUGAGACAAUCAUGGGCAAGAUCAUCAAGAUUUAUCUCAAUGUAGACCCUCCAAACGGCUACUGAAAUGUGAAGCAGGACGCACCCCUUGGCGAAGAAGCUUUGAAACUUUUGAUCCUUAACAAAUGCAACCAUAAACAAAAGGCACCCAAUGGCAAACAACAGCAGCCCCGAAAACGACUCGGAGAUUUGGAUCAAGAGCUGAUCGUGAGGUGUCGAACCUUGAAGCUUGGUUGCAACCUCAAUGCCAUGGCCAAAGACAUAAAUCUCCUUGGUGUAAAACAUCAUCAAAGCUCCACACGUUAGAGCUAUAAUUGAGUGUAGAAUGCAUAUCAAAAAGAACCCAGCUGAGCCCAUCGAACAAAUCAAAAUUUGAGAGCUUUUAAACUCAAAUCACCAACAUGACUUCACAGGAGUCUUCAAAACCAUAACUUUUUCAAGGCCAGAUGAUACCCAGAACCCAGAUGGAACAAAGCAAGAAAAAUCCCCAAAUUGAAACCCUAAGUCAAAUGAACCCGCCAGAUGAACCAAAUCGACCAAUCAGAUGCCGCCGACAACUCACAGAACCCUUUUUAAGUUUUAACCCUCUAACAGAGAAAGAGAUCCAAGAAAGUACUAAAGCUGAGACAUGGAAAGGAGAUGAAACUGAAAUGGGUAUUUAAGCACGAAGGUUUUGCAACUUGCAUUAAUUCUAAGGGUUAUGAUACAACGAAAUUAAUGCCAAAAAAAUAAUUCUUGAUGGAGAUUUGAAUUUGGGCUUUUUGGGGUGACAUAUUUAUUUGCUUCAAUUGGAAUAAAAAUUAGAUUACUCACAUCCAUACCUCUCCCAUGCACAAAAUGCCAUCGCUUUUCUGGUUGCUUGCUUGUUCGUUCUGCAAAGCAAUUCGGCAUUUGUGGGGUCUUGAGGGGCCUACGUUACUAAUCUUUAAACAAGUUUUAAUGAUGAUAAUCUUCCGGGAUAAUUUUGUUUUUCCGGAUUUGGAAUCUUGUAUGGAAAUUUUUAAUUAAUAUAGAGAAUUUUUUGUGAUUUACUUAAUCAAAUUUUAAACCCAUAUUUGUCAUGUUAUUUAUUCAUUUUGAUCUUAUGUUUAUGAGAUAGGAUGCUAUUAAUAACACUAUUGUGAGUGGUAAAUUUGAUAAGUGAUAUUAAUAAUUUCUCAUAGAUAUAGUAGUAAUAACGGAUUUGGAAUAAUUGCUUAGCUGAACUUUUUUUAACCUUUUAAAAUGAUAUAAUUAGUAAUUUUUAGAUAAAAAUAUAAAUUUAAUUAAAUCUUAACAGUAUCUUUUUAUAUGCAUUCAUGUAUGGUUAUGAAAAAAUUAAACACAAAUUAGCUUAGCACUAUAUUUUAAAUAAAAUACUUAUAACAAUAUAUCCAAAAAGCAAAUCAACAAAGAUCUCUUGUGUCUUUAGUCUUCAUAAUUACAAAAAUUUUCACAAUGCUUUUGACUUUCGGAAUGCUCUAAUUGGAAUCUUCUUAUGAUAUCCUACUAAUUUUUUUAAAAAAAAAUUACAAAACAAAAAGUAUCAAAUUUCAAAUGAUUCCAAAGUUAUCCCCGACAAUGUAAAUGACCAAGUGAUAACCAAUGAUCUAUUAAUAAAAUCAAGUGGUAAGUAUUGCCUUUUGAGAAAAUUGAACUCUGGGCCUCAGACCCAAAUCAAGCUCAACGGUAUAUUGGCCCAUGAGAUAUAUAUGAAUAAUGGGCUGUGGUGUUGACAUUUGAUCGAGUCUAAUAGUCUAGACUCUAGAGUGAAACUUUUAACCCCCUCUAGUAUGCUUGUAACACCACUUUUAAAUUCCAUUUCUUAAAAUACCCACGGGAAAUAAUACAAAUUAAUAUAUCAAAAUUAACCAUCUUCUUAUAAAAAUUUACCCAAAAAUAUGUUUCUUUUUAAAUUGCAUACAAAUUCUAAAAUAUUAAAUUUGUAUUAAUUUUUUUGUAUAAUUUCUAUCUUCAUAACUUUAAAACUCUUAAAAUUUUCAGAAAAAAUAUAUUCUUCAAUUAAAAUUGAUUAUAAAUAUAAAUUAUGAAAAUAAGGUGUGUUUAAGAAGUUUAUGAAAAACUAAUUUAUCUAUUUUUUUAAUUAAAUUUCUAUUUAAAAUAAGAAGCAAAUUAAUUAUGUUAGCUUAUUUAAGUCAUUUUAGUUAAUUAGAGAAAUUUUGAAAAGUGUCAAAAAGCUUACUCAUAGUCUUAUUUGAUAGUGUUCUACCACGGUUUUUAAGCUAUAACUACAGUAGGAUAAAAAUUAGGAUGGGCCUAUUUAAACUCAUCAAUUUCUUCUCUACACUUUUUUUUUUAAUUGAGAAUUUUAUUAUCUAAACAAUUUUUGAAAAAAAUUGCUUAUUAACUAUUUCUUCUCUUUCUCUUUUUAAUUUCAAAAAAUCUUAUUAAUUCAUUUGAAUAUAUUCUUUUAUAAUUAGUAUUACUAACUCAAAGAAGCAAAACCUAUCAUUUAAAAAUGACCAUCAACAUAUUUUUAUCUGCCAUGAAAGUUAAUGAAUAUCAAGAAAUCAAUUUUUACCAAACAAAAAAAACUGAAGAAUAUCAAGAAAAAAAAUCUUAUAUAUAGAAAAUAUGAAAUAGAGAUCAUGAUAUACUAAAAAAAGGCCAAAACAAAAAUUUAAAAUAGAAUGAAUUGAGUGUUUAGUUUGUAGAAUGUGAAAGUAGAGAGAUCAUAUGCAAUUUUAAUGGAGAGAGAGAAAGAAAUUAUUGAAAGGUAAUUUUGAUUUUUAAAUUUUUAAUUGUUAGUAGUGAAAUUAUUUUUAAAAAUGGGUGUAAAGAAAAAUUUAGUGGAUUCAAAUAUUUUUAUUCUAAAAACAAUACUUGCGAAGGAAAAACUCGUGAAUAUACGGUAAAUAAUAAUAUUUUUGCUAAUUUACAAUAAGGAAGAUGGAAUUAUUAAUGAGCCACAUUUUAAAGGGAUGUUGCUUCACCGUAUUAAUCCACCAAUGUGGAUUGAACAAAGUUUUUAACAUUUUCAAUCUUGGCUUUCUGAUGGACUAGAAACAACGAUUACGGGUUCAAUAGUUAAUAGAGGGUGAUUCGAAAAUGCGUUUUUUUCAUGCUUGAGCCUCUACAAGGAAAAUACAAAAUGCUAUUAGGGGUUUGAAAGAUAAUGAGGGGAGCUGGGUUGCCUAUUUAAGGGGGGAUGGAAGAUAUUAUUUGUACCUAUUACUUUAACUUGUUAUUCUUCCUUAUGUCCUAGUCACACUUAAAUGGCAGCGGCUGUUUAGCAUCUUAGCCCGCUCAUGUAUGAUGCUAUGAAUGAUUAAUUAAAUAAGCUUUUCACUAGCGAGGAGAUUCAAUGUGUAGUAAUGCAAAUGCACCCGUCAAAAGUGCCUGGGAUGGAUGGUUUAUCUCUUACUUUUUUUUCAAAAUCAUUGGAAUUUGUCGGGUAAGCAAGUAAUUGUUACUUGUCUUUUAUUUUAAAUAAUAGAGCGGAUAUGUCUGAUUUAAACCAUACUGUUGUUAUUCUUAUUCCGAAGAUUAAAAAUCCAAAGGUGUUGUCUGAUUAUAGGCCUAUUAGCCUAUGUGAUGUUAUAUAUAGAAUUAUAUGUUAAAUUGCUUCCAAAUCGAUUGAAAGUGUUUUUACAUGAUGACAUGUCUUGUUCUCAAAGUGCAUUUAUUCCUAAUAGGCUUGUUACUGAUAAAGUCUUCUUGGGGUAUGAGCGUUUGCAUGAAUUGAGAGCCUAUGAAUUGAGGAAAGGUGGGAUUGUUACUUUAAAUAUGGAUAUUAGUAAAAAGAGGGUUUUUCUCGAGCAAGUUAUGCUUAGAUUGGGUUUUUCAUUGAGGUGUGUUCAAUUACUUUUAGUAUGUACCGCUAGUUCCACAUUUUCUUCUAUGUUUAAUUAAGAGGUUCGUUGCAUGGUGCAUCCUUAAAUGAGCUUGCGACAAGAAUAUCCCUUUUCACCUGACUUGUUUAUCUUAUGUUCAGAGGCGUUUUCUUCACUAAUUCAUGCAAUAGGGACUGUAAAUCUUUUUCAAGGAGUAUGUUUUAUAAAAGAGCUAAUGGUGUCACAUCUAUUUUUUGUGGAUGACAGUCUUAUUUUUUGUUGGGCUACCACUAGUGAUUGCUGCCGCUUAAAGAUUUUUUUAUGUUUAUUCUGCUGCAUCUAGACAGUGUUUAAAUUUUGCAAAGUCAUUUAUGUUAUUUAGUCCAAAUGUAUGUGUUGUUGUUCGUAGAAAGGUGAUUGAGAUUUUUUUUCGUUUACUAUUGUGCCUGAAAGGAAUUUAGAUCUAUUGCAAAUAAACGUAGGUAAUGAAAAAUCUAGAAUUAACAACUUAAUUAAUUUUCAAAUAUAUUGUUCACUGUUACUAUUUAGGGUUACUAUUUACAGUUACGGUUCACGAUUACUGUUCAUCUGCAUAAAAAAUAUUAAUUUUUCAAAAACACAAUAAAUUGCAAAAAAUAAAUGAUACAGAGAUUUUUACGUGGUUCAGAUUAAUCAAUCCUACGUCCAUGAGUCUACCCAGAUGAAAAGAAAUUCACUAAGUUGGGAUGUUAUAACCUAUGGAUUUACCAAACUUAGGACUCUCACUUACAGUUUAUCACCAUACAAUUUACUUAACUUUAGACUGAAUCUGCUUCUCUUGAAUAAUUACUACCCCUCUUGAUCCACGAUCCUCAAGGUACUUCGCAAAGUGAUCAAUAACAAUUCUUCAAUGUCUAGUGAUCCAAGAUCCACAUAAACUCUCUACAGAGAUGAAAAAAAGAUAAGAAAAUAAAUUAACACAACAUUAUGCGUCAAAUCCGGAUUCUCUAGCGAGGAGACCGAAUUAUGCUUCUCUACUUUAUGCUAUGUGUUGCGUGCCUUCAAUUGUGAAAAGCAUCUCUUUAUAUAGGCAUUAGAGUUUCACAAAAAAAUAACAAGUCUUAAAAGGCUUGAAUUCUUUUCAAAUAAGAGUUUUUUUUGUCUUAUAAUUCCUAUGAAUCUCAAUAGGAAUAAAUUUGAUUUUCUUACCUUGCUUGUCUCCCAAUAAAUAUUUAGAGCAUUUAAUGAACUUCCUGUUUGAAAUAACUUCUUGCUUUAAAUAAAUCUCAUGCGCCAAUUAUAGAAUCACAUCAUUAAUUGACUUGCUAAAUUAGACAUCUAAUUAAAUUAGGAAACAAAUAUUCCUAAUAAAUUGGAAUCUCACUAAAUUAGGAAAUUAAUAAAUUUAUCCCUAUUACAAGAUAUGCAAUAAAUAAAACUUCAAUUUAACUUGACUUUCCAUAAGAUGCCAACUCUAUAAAUAAUGGACUUAACAGUGCCCAUUUAUGAGAGAUAGUUAAGGCUGCCAGCAAUGGUAGGACAUAAGAAGGAGUAUUUUCAUGAGCUUCAACAUCGUGUGAUUAAGAAGUCGAAUGGGUGGUCUACACAAUGUUUCUCCAAAUGGGUAAAGAGGUGUUAAUUAAAACGAUAGUCUAAGUAGUUCUUGCCCAUGCAAUUGGGGUUUUCCGGUUACCCAUGGGGUUUUAUGAUGAGUUAUAAAGGAAAUUUAUAGUCUUCUGAUGGUGAAUAAUAAGCUAACAUUAGAAGAUUCGUUGGUUGGGAUGAGAGCAUGAGAUCAUAUGAGUCGUUCUAAAAAAUUAGGUGGCCUUGGUUUUAGAGAUUUGGAUUGUUUAACAAGUGGUGUUGGCUAAGCAAAGGUGGAGGGUAUGAUGAUUCUUUGGUGGCACGUAUACUAAAGGCUCGUUAUUUUCGUAAAUGUUCUUUUCUAGAGGCAAACUUGGUUAGUAACCCAUCGUACUUUUAACAUAGUAUGAUUUAGAGUAGGGAGUUAUUGAUGAAGGGACUUCGAUAGAGUGUGGAAUAUGGAAUGAGUGUUGGAAUAUAUAGUAAUAAUUAGCUGCCACAUCUAACUACUUUCAGGCCUAUCUUGCCGCCAACUUUAUUUAUCGAUUCUGUAGUUGAAGAUUUGAUUUUAGAUGGAAAUUGCUGGAAUGUCUCUAUGCUAUGACAACACUUUUUUGACAUAGAUGUUCAAUAGAUUUUGAAGAUUAAACUAUUGUUCCAACCUUAUGAAGAUAGAGUUUUGUGAUAUUAUGAUAGACUAUUAGAGUAUUCUAUGAAGUCAGGUUAUAAUUUGGUUGUGCAGAUACGUGAUUCAAUGUAUGGUGUGUUUUCAAGGGAAGAUUCAUGUGAAUGGUAGGCUGUUUGGAAGUUAAAUGUUCUUCCCAAGGUACAAAUUUUUCUUUGGCGAGCCCUAUUAAAUAUUUUGCCUAAAAUGGACAAAUUAAAGUCGAAGAUAGUUGUAUAACAUUCUUUUUGCCAUAUGUGUAAUUAUUUGGAGGAAUCAGUGAUGCAUAUUUUGGUGGGUUGUGGUUAGGCCUAAGGCAUGUGGAAACUCAUUAAGUUUUUGGAGUUAAUUGUGCAGGAAAAUAAUUAUGAUAUGUGGGGCCUGUUUAAGUAUGCUAACAUAUGCUUACAACUGCUAAAUUGCAUCUAUUUGUGCUAACUUUGUGGGGUAUUUGGGAAGCUCGUAAUAGAUGCUUAUAUGAGAACAUUAAAAUGGUACCAUCACAUGUGGUUGCAUGAACUGAAGGCAUGUUCCAAUCUUUUCCUUAUGUUCAACCUAUUGGUGGAAGCUGUGACCAAUCCAAUGGUUUUUUUCCCUAUUUAGAAAGGGGAAGUACCUCCAGUAGGUUGGUAUAAAUUAAAUAUGGAUGUAGCUAUGGAUAUAAGGAAUGGUAGGGUGGAUUAUUGUGCUGUCAUACGUGAUAGUAAUGGUCAUGUUAUGGCCGUGGGCGUUGAUCAGUGUGUUUUUUCAGAUAAUGUAGAUAUUGCAGAGAUUGAACCUCUUCACUUUGGCAUAUGACUCGCUAAUGAGAUUAGUUUGUCUACGUUGGUGGUGGAGGCGGAUUUAUUGCAGACUACUCAGUUUGUUUAUGGUAUAUGUCAUACACAUACAAAGUUAUACUAGAUUAUUUUAGAGAUACAAAUACUAUUUUCAGCUAGGUAGGAUUUCAAACUUCAAUAUAUUCAUAGAUGUUGUAAUCAUGUUGCUGACGAAUUAACUAAAUUCACUCUUCACUAUUCUGGUUUUCUUGUUUGGUUGGAGGAUUAUCCAAACUUUUGAGAAUGUUAUUUGUAAGUUGAUCUUUGAAAUAAAAUACCCGUUUAUUAUUAAAAAAAAUUGGCUUUCUAUCAACUUUUUAGCAAAUAAAUUUUGUUUGAAUUAGAUUUAUUUUCUUUUAUAAUUUUCUAAAGACCUUUAAUUAAUUAAUGUCCUCUUCAUUUCAUUUUCAAUUCAUUUAAGUUAUGGAACGAAACAUAUCUUGUUCCAAUUGUUUCUUUUUAGCAAAAGCAUUUAAUUAUCUCUUCUACUAUGCUUCUACUGUGCUUCAUAAUUUUGAAUUGAUUUAUUGUACUCAAGCUCUUUGAACUGAACAAUUGUCAUAUUAUCUAAGAGGUUAUAAUUUAAUGCUAAAAAUUUUGUGUCAAAUUUUGCUUUAAAAAAAUAGGACUGAAAGGCCGAGUGGCCAAAACAUUGCCCUCACGACUGUGAGGGCAGUGGUGCGAGCUCCCGUGAUGCAUGUAGAGGCUUAUUUCCUUUCUUAAUUAUGGUAUAUAAUUGAGUGAAGGCAAUCUUCUCCCUUUCAAAAUGUGAUUGGAGUAGACAUCCCUCAAAUAUUAGAGAGGGUAAAAUAUGGGUAGUGCUCUAUAAGAAUUAAUGUAAAGUUUCAGUAAUUUUCUGAUUGUAAAUAUCAGUUGUAAUAUCAUAUAAUAUGAGUUAUAAUCUGAACAUUAGUCUCAUGUAAUUAAAAAAGAAAAGACUCUCGAAUGUACCUCUUAAUUCAUUGUUGUCAUGAGAUAAAAUCAUUGGCGUAUAUUGGGGAUCCAAUGUUUAUGUGCUUAGUUUCUCCUCUUUAUAAUUAUGUGCAUACGGGGUCAAGCACUUUAAUUCUAAUUUCAUAAAUUAUUUUUAAAAACAAAACAAAAUGAACAUCUAAACCCAUUUACUUUGGAAUUACUAAUAAUAUUAAAUAAUAUUAUAUAUAUCAACCCUUAGAGUUAUAAGUGAUAAAAUUCAAUUGUAGUUCACUGUCUUCACUAGUAUAUGCUACUACUGAUAUGCCGGUUGAACAGACUAUCAAAUUUGCUACUACAUGUUUGGAUACUUUUCAACUGAUUUCACGACAAAUUUAUAUAUUUAACAAGUAUAAAAAAAUAAAUGAAGUAAGGGGAAGGGGGGGGGGGGGGGGGGGGGGAAGGCCUAAGAGCAUUAGCAAAAACCCUUGAACGAUUCGUUUGGGUCUAAUUUUUAACAGCUAGGCUACCAAAACACAACUGUUAGGGUGUUUGGUAAAAUCUACUGGAUUGUGGCUCUACGGUUGUACCGGUGGUUUUUUUUCUUUUUUAUUUCAUAAUUUUUGUGAUAAUUGUUAAAUAUAAAAAUUAAUAUAAAAUUUAUUAUUUACCAUAAUUAAUAAGCUUUUCUUUGAAAAUUUUAGUUUUUAUCCCACACAACAUAUAUAGAUAAGAAAGCACAACACCUCACUAUCAAACAAGCUUGAAGUUGGUCCGCCAACCCAACUUAACAUUAGUUGGGUUCAUUUAGCUAUGGUGUAAAAUUUAAAUUCCCAUUGGAUGUUCUAGUUUCACUUUUGAACUGCUAAUUAUUUAUGGAUAACUUGUCCAAUGACAAUAUUUUAUCCAAAAUUUAUGAUAUAAGCAAUCACAAUAAUGUUGUUACACAUUUGGUUUCUUAGGACUGUAUUAUAUAAAGAAAAAGUAAUGUUAAGAAUUGCACCACUAAACUAAUAUGAUAUUUACCUAUUAAAUGGUAGAAUAUUAAUUUUAUUAGUAUAAAAUUCAUCAUACAGUAAAUUAAUGACACAUAACAGUUGAGACUCAAUUGUUGGGUUGAGAUCCUAAUAUUAUUACAAAAUAUAUAUAACUACAAUAAAACUAUCUAUAGUUAUAAUAUUGGGAUCAAACUAGUUUUAUUGUUAGAAAGAGAUUAUAAUUUAAUAGAGGUAUAGUUACAAAAAUUAUUAUUUUGACUUAGUUAUCCUAAUGCAAUUAUGCAAGUGGUAUAAAAGUAAAUUAAGCAAAAUAUUAAUAAUUUAUUAAUAAUACAUAUCAAAUCUUAUGUAUAUACAUUAAUAAAAGAGAUAGACAUAAUCUUAAAAAAUUUGUGUGUGUGUCUAGAUUGUUAACAUAUAUGUUUCCAUAAUGUUGAUUUUGAUGAUAACAAACAAGAUUAAGAAUGAUUAAUCUUUUAAGCUCAAAUUAUUUUUUAUACUUUUUAAAUAAAUCAUUAUUUUCUCAUUAUAAAGGUUUCAUAUUUAAUGGAAAAAUGAUUUUAUGAAAUUAGUUGCUAUUCAAGUUUAUGGUUUAAUUGAAAGAAUUUUGAAAACUUUGAAAUCAACAAGUAUUGCUUGAAAUUUUGGAAAAGGACUUUUUGAAAAGUUUCAUAUCAUUUUGGGUCAUAUCAUAAUUUUAGAAAUUUUUGGGAAUAGCAAGUAUUAUUUAGAGAUUCUGAAAUUAGAUUUAUUUGCCAAAUUUAUAACGUUUUGGGCCCUAGUACAGUUAUGGAAAGUUUUGAGGCUAAAUUAUAAUUUUAAAAAAUAAUUCACUGUAGCAGUCACUGUAGUAAGCGGCUAACCGGAUGUGAAAAACCGGUAAGCCGGAUGUUGGGCAGAAUCUAUCCGAAUUAAAAGCGGCUAACCGGAUCCUGACAAACGGUAAUCCGGUUGUUGGGCAGUAAGUUCUAGAGCAUAAACGGCUAUCCGGAUUUCAUAAGCAGCAUACCAGAUGUUCAGAAAUUCAAAUUUUGGCUGUAAUGGUAACAUACAAGCGGCUAACCGGAUUCCAUAAACGGUAAGCCGAUUAUGACCAAAAAGUGCAUAACGGCUAGUUUUUUAGCUCAAACUAUAUAAACUCAAAACCAAUUCAUUUUUGGUAAUCUUGGCAAGCAAAAAAAUAAUUGCACACAACAUAUAUUGAGCUUCAAUUUCGUAAAUCAUCAUUUAUUAAAUCAUCUUUGUUCUUCAAUUUGUAUAUCCACUCUUAAAGAGAGUUUCAUUAUUGUAAUUUUCAUUUCUCAUCAAAUUGUGAAUGUACAAGUGUGAUAAACACUUGGGGUGAAGAGAUUGGAGAGAUAAUCUCUUGUUGUAAAGGUUCAUUGACACCUUGAAGUCAAUUGUAAACGAUUGAAGACUUGAAAGGCUCAGAUAGUGAAAUCCUCAAGCCCGGUGUGCUUGGAGGCGUGGACGUAGGCGGGGAUUGCCGAACCACGUAAAAAUCCUUGAGUUUGCUUUCUCUUCCCUUGCUCAUUUAUUAUUGUGCUUUCAUUGAAUUUAUUGUUUUCAAAUUUAUUAAGGCAUUAGAUUGGAUUGUUGUGUGUUUGCUUAGCUUAAUUUAUAAAAUCUCAAUUCACCCCCCCUCUUGGGUUGCCUAGUUAGUAUUUCAUGGAUAUAUGGGAAUACGAAGCUUAGUGAAGAGUCAAUUUCUAGCCAAGAUGUCUUGAUAUCAAUUGCUAACUUGCUAUAAAGGUCAGGAUGUUUAUACACGAGCCCAUGCAUAGAAAUAUAAUAUAAAAAUAGCCAAGUCAUAGUUCUUACACGUAGGGGUGGGAAAAUCGGGUUUCAGUUCGGGUUGUUCGGGUUUCAACCCGAUCAGGUUGGAGAAUUGAACCCAAUCGGGUUAAAAACACCAACUCGAACCGAACCGAUUCAGUUUCGUAAUUCAGAUUGAAUUAGGUUGGUAAUUCGGGUUAAAAUUUCGAUUCACGUUAAUUCGGGUUAGUUUAGGUUAGAACAAUUCAUUCUAAAAAUUCGGGUUAGAACGGGUUGGAACAUUUUAAACCAAAAAUUCUACCAAAAACCACUUAAAAUAUAAAAAUCUCAAAUCCAAACAUCAACUAAAAUCAUCCUUAACAACAUUUCAACAAGUCUUUUUAAAGUUAAUAAAAUAUAAAACAUGUAGUCAAGUACAAUAAAACUACAAAAAUUACAAAUCUAAAAAUUAAAAUGGCAAAUGUCAAUCAUGAUUAAACAUCUCCACAUGACAAACAAGGCUAAUAGUCCAUCUCCAACACCAUCAAUAGUUAUCACAAUACCUCCAAAUUAGCAAUAAUUAACCAACACCAUAGCAAAAUAUCGAGCAACAACAGAUAGAAAAUGAAGCAAUUAGUCCAUUUUGUAGAAAAAUUAAAAACAUUAAUUAACAUUUAGUGGAAUCAGUCAAUAUGCCUUAACAAUUCUCAAUAUUACUAGUAGCAUGUUUGUAUUAUGACUACGCCCUAAUUGUGUAAUUGAUUAUUAUGCAAUUCUCAAUAUUACUAGUAGCAUGUUUGUAUUAUGACUACGCCCUGAUUUUGUAAUUGAUUAUUAUGCUUGAUCCAAAUCAAUACACAUAGUUACAUACUUACUAUUGCAACAAAAAAUCUUCAUUUUAGAACACUUGGAUGGUCCGCUUGUGUCGAUUUACGAAGUUCUACAUGAAAUAAAAAGACUUGAAGUAAAGAACUCUUAAAGUAAAUAAAUCUUAAAAAUAAAUAAGUAACCAUUAAUAUUUAUACCUUUUGUAAGAGCAUCCAUAAACUCGUUUUCCUCAACCAACGCUUGAAGGUUUAUUGUUGAAUCAACAAAAAGUGAAGAUCGCAACCAAUUUUGCAUCAGUAAUGCUUCCACCAUAUCAGGAGUCAUAGAACUCCUAUAUUCAUCUAAAAUACGAUCUCCCAUACUAAAAGCGGACUCAGAUGCAACUAUAGAUAUUGGAAUGACAAACACAUCUCUUGCUAUAUGCAACAAAAUUGGGUAUUUCAAACUAUUAGCUUUCCACCAUAGCAAAAUAUCAAAUGGAGCACCCAAUGCAUUGGGUGCUCGAUAUUCAACCGACUCCAUCAAGUAAAGAUCUAGCUCAUUAGAUAAUUCUAUGUGAUCUCUAGUGACAGCAACCAUCUCGGUGUAUUUGGAGAAAGGGUCCUUAAAUACCUCAUUGUCUUCAUCCAUAAAAGUUAGCCCACUAUUAACACUCGCACUUGCACUUGCACUUGGAAACACACUCGCACUUGCACUUGCACUUGGAAACACACUCGCACUUGCACUUGCACUAGCACUUGGUUUUAAGUAUUGAGCACUGUAUGCUUCAAAAAGCUUGUUUAACACAUCUUUCCCCAUGUUUUUCAUCUCAGCAUAUUUUGCAUUAUCCUUACCAUAUAAAGUCUCAAAACAAAGUGUUGCAAAAUUCAUUUUCCCCCGUGGAUCUAAUACAAAAGCAACGAUCAACAACUUAUUUAUCUUCGAAGGCCCCUCCUAAUACUCCUCAAAUUUCUCCUUCAUGCUACUUGCUAUCAUAUCUCGUUGUAGCACAUACUAUUUGUCACCCUCAGAGAAAAAGAAAAUGCCAAUGUGGCAUCAUAAAAAAAUCCUCAAAAACCUGACCAUCCGACGAGCAUUAUCCCAAUCAUAACUUCCUGGUGGUCCUACAUUUUUCUUCCCACCUUCUUUUUCACGAAAAUAAGCAUCAUAAAGCUUAUCCUCAUUUGUCAUUCGAUCAAAUGUCGAUCUAAACUUCAAUGCUGUCGUCAACUUAGUAUAUAUGGAAUUCCACCUAGUUGGACAAUCUAAAACCACACUUCAUCUAAAAGGCUUACCAUUCUUCCCCAAAAUCUUUUCUUACUCUACACGAAUUUGAAAUGCUUUCAAUCUCGCAGUAGAUGAUCUCACAUACUUCACAGCAUUGCGGAUACUAAUAAUAUUGUCAUCUAGUUAUUUCAACCCCUCAUUAGCAAAAAGAUUCAUAAUAUAUGCGCAACAACACACAUGCAUAAAGUUACCAUUCAACACCAAUGCAUCAUCUCUCCAAGUCUUCAAUUUAUUCGUCAAAUAGCUAAUGGCAACCUUAUUUGCACUUGCAUUGUCCACGGCGACUGUGAACACCCUUUCUAUACCCUAGUCAAGCAAACAUUUCUCGAGCUGCUUACCAAUAGUCUCCCUUUUAUGUUUAGAAAUCGUGUUAAAACUGAUGAUCCUCCUAUAUAACUGCCAAUCUUGGUAAAUAAAGUGAGUUGUUAUUACCAUAUAACUUGUCGUCGUGAUGGAAGUCCAAAUAUAUGUAGUGAGCAAGACUCUUUGCUUCUUAUCAUAUAAUAAACUUUUCAACGAAGCCUUUUCAGCAAGAAAUAAGUCAAGGAUAUCCUUAGUAAUGAUUCUACAAGAUGGGACCACAAAUCUAGGACAUGUAACACUGCAAAAAUGUCUGAAUCCAGAAAUCUCUACAUGCUAAAAUGGCAACUCAUCAAGAAUAAUCAUUUUAGUCGUUGCCCUUUUAAUAGCCUCCUGAUUAAAUCCCCUAACCACAACUGACCAAUCUCUUCAUUACCAGCACCAGUGGGUUCUUGAGUUAAAGUUGCUUGAUUUUGUAGAUAAUUUUCAUAUUCAAAACACAUUUUCAAGUGGUUCGACAAACUGCUAGUCCCAUCAGUAGAUUUACAUGAAUAUUCUUGGCUGCAAUAAUUGCACUUACACCGAUUAUAAUCUUCUGGCAAUUUAGUGAAAUCCUUCCACACCUUUGAUCUCGGAGCCAUCACUUUUCUUGGCUAAGAUGGUUUUGAUGAUGUCCUUGAUGACCUCUUCCUCUUCGAUCCGGAUUGGGCUUCCGUAGUCAUUGGUGACAUAUCACUAACUUCAUUAGAUUCAGUGGAUUGCAUGUUGUCACGAACUCUUGAGCCAUCUGUCUCAGACAUCUGAAUCAUAAAUCCAUAGCAUGAUCACAUCAGUGAUCAAAGUCAAUCUAUAGCAUAAACAUAACAAAACAAAGAAAUCUAGAACAAAACAUCACAAUUUAAUAUAAUAAUAAGAAUCUAUUGCGGAUUUGGACGCUCUAGCCAAUGUGAAUCCUAUUUCGACACCCAGUUAUAAUUUUGCAGUAAAAAAUGAGUUCUCAUUACAACAACUCAGAAUUUCAUAAUGUUAUAUAUCCUAAAUUUAACAAAUAUCACAAUUUAAUUAAUAAUAACAACAACAACAUUUGGGAAUUAAUAUAACUUUGCCGAACAAUAAUUAAGUUAAACAAACAAUAAUAAUAAUAGUAAUAAUAACUACGAAUCAGCAUUCAGUAUAUUGCCAUAUUCUAAAUUUAAAAAAAAGACAAAUUAUUUAAUUAACAAUCUCCAAUUUAAUUAAUAAUAACAGCAACAAACCCACUCCAAUUUAAUAAUAACAAUCUCUAAUUGUUCAAUUAUCAGUCAACAGCAACAAAUCCACUCCAAUUUAAUUAAUAACAGUCUCCAAUUGUUCAAUUAUCUGUUAAUAGUAACAAACGUUACAAACCCACUCCAAUUUAAUUAAAAACAGUCUCCAAUUGUUCAAUUAUCAAUCAACAGCAACAAACCCUCACCAAAUAAUUGAACAAUUGUUAAUUAAUUAAUUAACAAUCUCCAAUUUAAUUUAUAACAAUAGUCAACAGCAAGUCAGCAACAAACCCUCUCCAAAAUCCAAAUAUCAGUACCUAGUAUGGACUAAACUACAAACCUUGAUCGAUGGGAAGCUACAGCGUCGGCAAAGCAUGACUGUGUGGGCUGAGUGAGAUGCGAGGUGAACGGCAGGGCGCAGCUGCAGGCGACUUGAUUAUUGAAGCCAUGCUGGCUGACGGUGAGUGGGCUGCGGUGAACAGCUGCAAUAGGGCGUCUGCUGGAGCUGGACGGCUGCAGGCAGAGGGCUUCCUACUGCCGUCGUCGUGGCCUCGUCUUCAUUGUUUAGGGAUUUGCUUUCGAGGCUUGUUACUAGGUAACGAGACCGAGAGUGUGAGAAGUGAGAACAUGGAGGUAACGAGAGUGUGAGACAGUGAGAGAUAAGAGAUUUUUUUUUGUUUAAAAAUUAAAAAAAAAAUAUAUAUAUAUAUAUAUAUAUAUAUUUUUAAUUUUUAAAAACCAAAACUUAAAAAAAAAAAUCAACUUGUUCGCGUUAAAAUUCGAUUCGGGUUCCGAACAGAUUGAUAAUUUGAAUCCGUUCGAGUUGCACAGAUUACCCAAUUCGAAUGUCCACCACUACUUACACGAGCCCAUACAAGGGGUUGCAAGUCCUAGCUUGGCUCAUGUGCACUCACGUCCUACGCACAUGAGACUAUGCCACAUCUGACAAUAUGUAGCGAAUCCAUUGUAAUGACUAUUUAGUGCAGGCCUCGUGCUCAAUUGUUUACAAUUAUUAUUGUACUUACAAAUUUGUAUAUUUCUAAUACUACAAUAAGAUAAGGGUGGUGUUAAUUAUUUGAAUUUUGUUGUUGUUGGGUGGGGGGGGGGGGGGGGGGAGACAAGACAACUUUGACUAUAGUGGCCCAGGUGUAUGCCACCAAAAAUAUACAACAUAAACUUCUAUUUUAAUAAGAAUUUAUCAAUAUAAUAAAAAAAAGAUACUUCAAAAAUCAAAAUGAAAUUUUUUUGAUAACUUAUUAAUCUUUCAAUAAGAUUUCACACUCUAUGCUUGGCAUAAAGUCAAGUAAAGAAACAAAAAACUAAAAAUAUCUCCCAACUUGGACUUUACUUUCUUUAAAGGAACAAAAAUCGUUUUUUUAUCGAUUAUGAUCUGAAGCUUUCAAGACACACCUUCAAUUGAACCACAAUCAAUGUAGACGUAAAACUUAUCUUUCAGUUUGCAAUCAAUAAUAUAUAACUUUUAAGUAUGCCAUAAGCCCAAAAUAUUUUUCUUUUUAAGUAUACUUUAAUUAAGCUUUUUCUGAGAGAGACACAUAAAAAAACUUGGACACAAUUUAAAUAAACGAAGGUACGUAAUUUACUUAUAAGAAUUAAACUGUGCUGCCAUGGCCCAUGGGGCAUAAUUAUAUUACUAGUAAUAUAACUUUUUAGAUAUUUGUGCAUGUUAUCUUAUAUUACUAGCAGAAAUAACGGAAUAAGCUAUGAUUUUUCAACGUAUGGUACUGCUUGGAUUCUAUCAUUCUAGUAUUUGUUGUGAAUAAAAAAACUAAAAGGGCUCUAAUAUAAACAAAUUAAUUGGUUAUAUAGGGAACUAAUAUGACAGAUCAUCCUAAACUAGAUUAAAGGAGGUAUUUUGGAAGAAAACAAAAGAUUGAAUAACAAAUUAAAGAGAGGCAAACUACAUUCACGAGUGUAGCAAACAGCCGGGACACAAUGAGCCCACCAUUUAAGAUAAAUAAUUUAUGGUUAUUAUUAUUAAUUUUAUAACUUUAAAAGAAAAGAAUAAAAUUUGACUUUUUAAGACUUCAAAUGUACUCGAGUGAACAAAUAGAAAAACCAAGCCCUCCCAAAUUGAAUUAAGUAAUUGAAUAACCAACCCUGCUAAUCUAAGUUCCUGGGUUCGCCACUGCAUAGAAUCAAAAUAAUCGAAGAUAAGAAGCUUCGUUGGUAUGAUUCCCGUAGAAAUAAUUUCAUUGUGACAACAUGAGUAGUAAGGAAUAAGACUGGAUACAAAAUGGCUGUAAGAAAUAGUUAACCCAUCAGUUAAAUUGCUAACUAAUACUCCAUGAUAACAUACAUAAUAAGUCUCUUUGCCUUAUAACUGUGCAAUUUGCCAUUAAUUUAAGAAUAAGAAAAUCGGGCCUUACGCUGCUAAGUCUGCUCUUUGCCUUCUAUUUGGUUAAUUGAAAUAAUUAGGACUGUUUCUAUGUAUUUUCAAAUAAUGGUAAUAAUAAUGUGCUAACUGCUAAUUGUUCCAUAGGGCAUACUCCACAUCCCUGGAUACUCAGUUACAUGGUGUUAAAAAGGUUGAGGAAGUCACAAAAGAAAUGGCAUCAGCCUCGGCUUUGUAUAUGAAAGCUAUGUGACGAGUAUUUACAACAUUAAAAUAAUGGACAUUGACAAUCUGUAAACAAAUAAAAUUUGAUUUUUAAUCAAUCCUAAACCUGUCUAUUAUAUUCUCCUACUCCUUGAUGUAUAAUUAGAAAUUAGAAAUGUUUAAAAUAUAAAAGUUACACCGAACUCUUUUUUUUUUUUCAUUUCUUUUCUGGGUCAAAAAAAAAAAAAAAUAAAGAAUACAUUUAAAAUGAGCUGCUGUCUUUAUUACCAGAAGCAACCUUCCGGUGCCGCUUAGAACCUGAUCGCUUUUCUCCUUUGCCACGCUUAGAAGAUCUUUUCCCUGGAUUUUUUCCGGCUAAACUUGUACCCGGUAGAACCACUUGAUGAUGCGUUGUCGCAGCACCUGGAGAAGCCUUGUGCACCAAAAGGUCUCUGUGGUAUGCCUGUACAUAAAAGAUCACACAAUAAGCAAAGACUAUAGCAAGAAACUAACCAUUUAAGAGAAGCAAUAUUGUUGACAUUUGAGACAUUAAAUUAUAAACAAUGAAGAGAUUGGGUUAAUGUUUAGAACUUGUCUUCCCAUGAACAUAAUAUGGCAAUACACAAUAUAUACCUGUAUCACAAAAUUUCGCCUUUCACAAUCCAAAAACAUAUUGACAGUCCAAUUAACUUUUGCCAUUAUCUUGUCUCUAACAGUGGAAAAGCUUAACUGAUCCCUAGCAGUAAAACGAUCCACUUCAUUGAACCAUAGGCAGGAGAAUAAGUUUGUGAUGGGAAUGUGUUCCCUUAUGAUGACACAACCUUCCGGGACAUCUGCAAAAGUUCAAUCACAAAUCAUCAAUCCCAGUUCCAUAACAAAACAAUCCAUGAGAUACAAUAUAAUUAACUUACCACUAGUUAUAGGGAGCUUGGCCUCAGAAUAUGGUGUUAGACCUUCAUUCUUAUAGAAUUCAACCUGGUAAUCAAUAGAGGAAUUAUCAUACUUUCCUGCAGCUUUAUUUGCUUCAGCCUCCACAAAUACGUCAAAGCGUCUAUAGUGUCUCGAGAUAGCAAAAGUAGCAUUUUCACGCCACAAAAAUCUGAAAGGGGGAUAGUUUGAAAUAAUGAGUGGAAAAGAGCUAGGAUGGUCAAAAUAAUCUCCAAUCAGAAACCCAUUUUCUGAGGCUGGCAAAUUUCCAGAUUUAGAUAUGGUAAUGGAUAUCCAUUACCCAUAACUCUUCCCAUAACCCAUCUCUAUUCCCAUGUUUCAUCAAAACUUUGAGAGUAGGAAGGGAUCUGGAUGACAAUUUUCCAGAUUAGGGUAUGAAAUGGAUAUCCAUACUCAGAAUAUUGCCAUCCCUAAAUUUUAGUCCCUAGCACUAAUGCCUAGACAAUUGAUCCAUGAAUGAACAUCAAUGUGACACAGCUUUAUAGCAUAAGAACGAAUACAGCCACUGACAUUUCCAGAAGUCAAGUAUAACCAAAACGCGCAUUGAAGUAAAAUAGGGAAAUGGUGACCAAUUUCUCAUACAUAGAAGCUCAAAUUUCUUGUCUUUCUACAGCAAUUGAAGCAGAUAAUCCUAUUUUGUUAAAUACACAAUUCAGACUAUGACAAUACCUAAAAAAGAUAACAUAAGAAAAUGCUUGUACCUCUCAAGAAUUUUAUAUGGAUCCACCACAAGCUGGAGCUUUCCAUCAAUCCAUAUAGAAUAUCGAACAUUGGGGAAGAUCCUAUGCAAAAGAAGCUUUGGCACCUGUCGCAUGUACAUAAAAUGUAAUAAAUCCAAAACACCUAAGAUUUAGAAACAACACUAAACACAAUCAAAAUCCACAUUGUCUAACAACGGCUACGAGGUUUGUAUCUAAGUUCAUUUUCAAAAUCACAGGCAUCGACCUGUAGCGUAAAUUUAAUAAUUAUGAAGCUCAAAUUUGCUCUGGAUACAGCAUAACUUUAAUUGUUCAAAGUGUGGUUUUAACGAACCAUUUGUUCUUCUAUUGCAGCCAAGACCCCAGCCACAUGUUUGACUAACCAACAGUAGAAGGUUACUCCACCUAGUCACUUUAUAAAUAAAAGUUUCUGGAGGUCUAGGUUACCGAAAAGAUACAUUGAACUGCUGUUUAAUAAUUUACAUCGAAUCUUCCAUGUGCUACUGUGUUAAAGAUCUUUUUCACAUCAAAGAAAGUAAAAACUAUAUAAAUGGUGAUGAUCAAAUGACUCAUUAAUAUUAAUAAAGAAAUUAAAAUAAAAAAAUUAAAGUAAUUUGGACAAAAUCCUGGUUUAGAGUUAAUAAAGAUAGAAGCAAAGCAAACUGACCUUUCCAUUACGUCUAGAAUCAUUGUAAGGGAUGUUGCGAACAACAAUAAUUCUCCACAACCCAACCCUUUUAUUGCUGUCCAAGAUGAUAGAGUUCUUCAUAUAUGCUUCUGUCUCUUCAUCUACAAACAUAUAGAAAGGAACAUUUUGUCUUGCUGCUUGACUGAUUUUUUUGGGCUGUUGUAUUAGGUCAUAGUUCCCUGCCAAAUUACCAGAUAAGAUAGAAACCAGCAUAAAAGCAAAAUAUUCUCCAUAUAGAAGUUGAUCUACACAGCAUUACCAAAUAUUGCUGAUGCAACAAUGACAUCGUGGAAUUGCUCCAACUCUGUGAGAUCAAAUUCAUCCAAAUCAAACCCACUUUGACGACCGGGUCUACUUCCUUUGACAAAUCUAAUAAAGAACAAAGGAGCCAGUAAAACAGCACAAGAAGCUUUAGAUUCAGUUUACAUGAAGAAAGAAAUCAGUUUAUUACUCUAAGAUAUAAUUUUAAAUAAAAUUUCAUUCAGAACAACAAUCUUCCUUAAGAGUUACAAGAGUGUCAUCUCAAACAUCUAACAAAAUGAACCUACCCACAGUGCACUGUCAUGGACUCUUUUAUCUCAUAAGAACCAUUUCUCUGUUUUAGGGAAGGAUAUCCUCCAAAAUCAGAACCUCCAUGUGUUUCAGUUUUAACUGGAUUUUCAUCAUGAAUAUAUGUCAAGUUUUGAAGCACUGGGGAUUCUGAUGGGGAACUUGGCAUACUAGCUAUUGCCUGCUCUACAGGAACGUAACAGACUGGACAUGCUGCAUACAUAGAUGAACAAGAACACAAUCAAAAUCAAGAAAACAAGAUACAUAUCAGAGGAUCAUAUUCUGUACAUCAAUAAAAAUUAGAAUUCUUGCUAUGCACGGUUUCAAAGAAUUACGUAUUAUCACAAUUAUAUGUUAGUUUAAAUCAGUAUGGUAUAAAAGACAAUGGAAUCAAAAUAAUAUAUAUAGCUAACUUCUAACACAGCAUUUUAUAAGUGCAUGCUAAGAAAUUGCAGAGUUAUCUUUUGUUUUGAUUACAUUAUGAGGCACAUUCCAAUCCCUAAUCAACACUGACGAUGGUAAUAAAAACAGGGAUAGGAUAGCACAUUAAACUUACGCCGUGGUCCAGGACGCCGUAAACCAGGAGGAGGGGGAGGAGGAAAUGCAAAAUUCUCGCAUGGAUGGUGCAGAGGAACAACUCUUUUGAUCAGGGAAGCAGCAGCAGGAGGAGAAGGAUGCUGGGUUUUAUUUCCAUCUUUCUCAGUAGAAGAAUCUCUAUCCUUCUGGGUAUCUUUUACUCUAGAAAUCAUUAAAGCCGCAGGAUCAUCUGCAGCUUGGCUGACAUAUGGAACCAAGCUUCCUAUAUGUUCAUCAAUAUUCGAACUAGUAUUUUCUGGAGCACCAAUCAUAAAAGAGCCAAUUCCAGAAUACAAAUUAUUAGCUCAAAAAUAAAAAUAAACAAAAAAGCAGUAAACAGUAACAAAUAUUACAUUUUUUUUAAUGCUCGAGAUCCAAAUAAAGCUUAAAUAUAUAUUUCGACAAGCAAUUAUUGCAUUCAUAAGACAUUGAGAUUUUAUGAUAAUAUUGACAGUCUUAACACUUUGAAUUUAAAUAAAACCAGGAUCAAAUUAGGCCAGAACCCAGUAAAAAGAAACCUCGAGUAAAAUUUAUCAUAGUUCUUAAUGCUUGCUAUCCGUACCUAAUGCCAUCAUCCAAUCAAGACAAUAUGACUGCUUAAACAAUAAUCCAGAGCAAGAACUGCUCAAAUUCAUAGUAAACGAAAAUACAAAAAAAAAAAACAAGAAAUACAAACCUUUAUUAAGAACAUAGGAACCUAAUGUAAAGAUCAAGAGAGGAAGGCCAACAAGGAGCAGCAUUGCUACCCUUCUACGGCCUAAAAAUUUGCAAAACACAAGUAGAAGAAACUGCUUCUCUCUAUCUCUGGAACCUGCAAGCAGCAUCUUUGGAGAAGGCUUCCUGGUAAAGAUAGAUGAUGUUGGUUUUCCAACAAUACCAUUGUUGUUGAGUAGCUGCAAUGACCCAUAACUGGCUGUGCGUUGACCCAAUGACCCUCCAGUCAUUGUCUCUGAAUGCCCCUUAUCAAUUCUAGUCUCAUCGCCUUCUUUUUAAAUUCCCUCUAGCUCACAAUUGCCCUGCCAAACCUUACUCCCAAAAACAGAAACAGAUAUAUAUUCUCGAAUCAAAACCAAAAAGCCAACAAAAGAAAAAACUCGAUCCUCAAUCUUUGCCAAACUCCCCAAACUGAUCAAAACCUCAGCAAAGAUCAAUAACUCAAUUCUCAAAACUUCACUACCGAUCAAAUUCUUCAAACUUUAGUAGAUUGCUCAGAUAGAUAUCAACUGAUCAAAAAACCCAACGAAAUCCAAUGACCCAAUCCUUGAAACUUUACUAGGACAGUGAAAUGGAUCUAACUGAUUAAUAAUCAAACUAGAAUUCAACAACACAAUUGACGAAAUGUCACUGAAAUCCUAAAAAACCCGACCAAAUUUGAAUCAUGGGAGUAGCCACUAAACCAAACCAUUGAACAGUCCCACUAAACUUGACGCAAAAAGACAAUGCACUACUACAUUAUAAUAUAUACACGCACAAAGAACCGUCUGCAAAACAACAAUCACAUCACAAUUACGAUUCAAUUUCCUUAAAAGUUAAAACGCACAUUUUUCCUCUGAGACACAAGAACAAACUGAUUUCACAAUUCAGUUAAAAAAAAAAAAACCCAGAAGCCUAGGGAGAAAAAAAAAAAAAAAAAGCAACAGAGUGCGUACCUUUGAAUGGAUUUAAUGAAGAUUUUAAUGUGGGUUUUGUUAAAAACCUCGCCCCAUGAAUGGGUCUUUAUAGAAACUUCAGAUUUUGAUUGAGAGAGUUGGUUGUCAACAAAAGCGUGACAUCUGUUUUUUUGUUUUUUCUCUUUUAUUGUUUUAUUGUUUUCACAAAUCUCACAAAAAUAGAAACCAUGAUCGAGUAGGCGUCGAUGGCCCUAUCCAUUAAUCAUUCACAUACCGUAAUUAUUUAUAAUUUAUAAUCAUUUAACAUUUAAAUAAUUCUAACAGUUCAGUCCCAAUUGACAUAAUAUUUAUAUAUUGAAUUGAAUCCUAAAACAUUUAUCUCAAGAAAAAGGGGUGAGUGUUUGAGUUUCCUUUUUUCUUCUUUUUUACAAUUUAUAAAAUAAUUUAUGGUAUAAUUUUAUAAUUCACGUUAUGAGAUCACCUUAUUUAAAAAAUCUUUUAGAACAGAUUUUGGAAUAUGUCAAAUUAUUCAUAACAUGAGUAAUGAUACAGGCACAAACUUAUUUUAUACAAACUGACGUGACAUUAAUUUAUUGAUUGAAUAAAAAUAUAAAAUAAUAAAAAUAAAUCAUGUGGGUCAAUUGAUAUUUAAUUCAAUUAAUCUUAUCAUGUCACAUCAGUUUGUACAAAAUAAGUUUUUACAAGAGUUUGUGCCUAUAUCAUUACUCUUCAUAAUAAUAUUUUUAUUAUUAUAUUUAUUUUUUCGGUACAUUAAAUUUAUCUUACAUGAAAAAUAAGUAAGAAAGAUCAAAGAGGAAUGGAUGAUGCACUUGAUAUGUUUCCAAUUUCCUUCCAAUUGAUAAUAAUUUUUCUUUUAAAGAAUAUAAUCUUCAAGUUAUCCUAUCUUAAGGUAAGUUUGUGUAAUAACCUUAUCUUUGGCACUAUUUUUUGGUUGUUUAUGGAUUUUGCAACGAAUUACUUCCAUAAAAUAUAUUUAUGUCCAAAUAUUUUUGGUCCUCAUUCAAAUAGAAUUAGACUCAUCAAUAUUUUUCUUCUAUAGAAAUGCUUUGAGAUGUUGAAUUGGAAAAAGAAUGGAGUAAAUUUGAAAUUUUUAUGAAUAAGUCAAGAUUUUGUGGACUAGAAUGGGAAUUUGUGUUAAUGUUGGUGGUUUGGUUGUCACCAUAAGCUAUCAUGAUAGUGAUAAUUGAUUAAAACAAGAACAAUGGUACAUAAAAUUAUGCUGAUUAAAUAUUUGUUUUCUUUGACAAGGAUUUAAAAAUAAAUAAACUUGUACAACCUCAAGCAAUCAAUUUUCUCAAUUUAUUUUUAGUAGUUUCAUCAUUAGAAGUCUAUGCUCUGUAAGCUGUGGUGCAUUCACGUUCUCAUCAAUUUUGCUAGCAUUUGGUGUAUUUAGAUCAGUUGAGUGUAUUUUUAUGAGACGACACGUAAUGAUAUUGGAGCAAAACCGAAAAGGAUACCUACAUCUCAAGCUUUGAAAAAAUAAUCAUAAGAACCCUAAGUUUUAAAAAAUGGACACCAAGAGUCCAAGACCUUUUUUUACCCAUAAUACCCUUUGACUAUAAUAAUUAGAAAAUUAACUCUAAAGACUUUUAGUUAACACAAAUUUAAUAUAAUAAUAUAAUUUAUCUAGUAGAUUAAUAAUAUUAAAUUAUUUUUUACGUUUAAAACAAUAUUAAAAAUUAAAUUGUUAUAUCUAUUUUAAUAAUAUAUUUGUAAUAUUAUAAAAAAAAAUUAAAUAAAUCUUUGGGUUAAAUAGAUUUUACAAUUAAAAAAACUCCAUAUUAAUAAUAUUAAAAUCAACCUUUACAUAAUAUUCAAAGUAAUUUUAAUUUUAAUUUAUUUAUUUAUUUUAAUAUUAUGUUUCUAUCUAUUAUUAAAAAUUACUUUAACAUAAUAAAAUAGGUCUAAUAGAUUGAAAAAUAUUAAAAUAUUUUUAAAUAUUAAAAUUAUUUUGAAAUGUAUAUAUUAUUACAUUUAUUUUAAUGCCAUAUUUCCAUUUAUUAUAAAUUUUUGGGGUUAUUUUUUUGGGGAUCGAAGGGCAUUAUAGUAAAAAAAUGAGUCUUGUUGUCCCUUAUUGAAAAUUUGGGGGUCUUUGUGACCAUUUCCUUAAACUUUGAGACUGUCGGUGUCCUUUCUCCGAGGAAAAAUGAGAAUUCAAGAACUAUAUAUCAUUUUGUGAUUGCUUGAUGGUGAAGAGAAUGCAGGCUAUAAUAUUGAUGAUUUUGAAAUGUAUCAACUACAGGAUGAAGCACGACGUUGCCAUCCGGCAUAAAAUUAGAUGGUGUCACACAUCACCUAUUCAUGGUAUCUUCACGCUCGAGUAUGAGAGCAUAAAUUUUUGCUCUUUGCUGAAGGGAUUGACGAUUUUGAAACAAUUUUUUUAAACCCUCUUGACUAUACAAUGAGGUUAUCUACUUAUCAUUAGCUGCAUUGAUUUUACGCUUACCAAAUAACACUUAUUCUGAUGUUCAUUAUUGCUCUUCUGCUAAACCUCGAAGCCUAGUUCUUCAAAAUCCACAAUCAUCACAUUGUCUUGUUUGGUCGUGGAAGAUGGUUAAUUAAAAGCAAAUAGAGUGAUUUACACAAACAAUUAACCAGAAUGAUAGAUUUUCUCUUGCUAGCUGCUUGCUUGGUUUGCAAGAAAGGGAGAUGUAAAACAGAAAGCACUUUGAUAUAUGGGUCAUUGGCAAAUAUCCUGAUACAUAUUUUUAUAGACACGAGUGGGGUUUACUCGGAGUUUGAUGGGGCCUAUUCAGAGCUUAAUGGGACUAGGGAUAGGAAAGCAAUUCAAAUUCGUUUUAAUGUGGAAUCCAGUGAAUAUCACAAAUUCAAAAUUACUUAAAGAUGUUUAGGGAAUGACAGCUAUCAUUAUUAUUAAUUUCUAAUAGUGAAGUUGAAGAAAUUCUUUCAAAAUUGAUCAAUGAUUACUUUUCCUUUCCUAAUUUAGAUAUUCCCAUAAUGGAUAGGGGAUGGACUAUGUAUUGGUUCCAAACUUCCAAUUACGAUUUGAUUAAUUCAUAGCCGUAAAAACCAAAUACCAGAAAAAGCAAACACGAACCUGAACCCCAAAGAAAUCUCAAAAAUCUAAAAUUACAAAAUUCUGAAUUCUAAAAUUAAUUGACAUUAGAUCUUAAAAAAAAAAAAAAAAAAAAAAAAAAACUUGAUCCAAUUAUUUCUAAAAGAAUCUAAAAGUUUAAAAAGAAAACCCAGACCUUGAAUAAAAAAGAAAAGAUGCGUGCAAAAAUGUCAGCAAUCUAUUCAGUAACAAAAAGUGAAAAAAGGAGUCAUCUUUUUUUGUGUGUGUCUGUGAUUAUGAGCAAGUCAAAAGAUGAAGAAAAGAUGCUAUGAUUUAACAAUGAGCAAUUUUGUUGACAAAUAUGGUAAUAGAAAUUAUGGAGCGUUUAAUUUUGGGACACAACGGUAUGGUGGUCCAUUGUGUUUAUGUUAGGUCAGCUGCCACAUAUUUAUUAAUACAUGCUUGAAAAAGUAUUGUAAUAAAAACUAUGGGGGUCCAUGAUUUGAUUAAAUAAUUUACUCAGAUUGCAAAAUAUGCAUAAAUGUACUACUACUACUUUUGUCACUCUUCCCCCCCCCCCCCCCCCCCCAUUCUUUUACACUAUUUUUUAUUACCCAUAAGAUCAAAAUAGAGGGGUCAUGACUCAAGUGUCAUGCCCAUUAAUUUUGUUUAAUGACAUGGUUAAUAAUAAAUAAAUUUAAUUUCAAAUCAUAAUAUUAGUAGAGAACUAAGUAUGACUUAAAUUUUAUAAAUAAUAUAAGUUAAUUUUGUAAGUAAUGAUAUAAGUUGCGAUGACCCAUGUGCUGAUCUGAAAGGUGAGACAGAGAGGCACGCAGUGGAGUGAGCCAAAACGUGGACCACAAACAAAAAUGAGGCCCCAUUAUUGAGUUGUUAAUAAAUUGUCUGAAAGAGUGAAGACAGACACCUUACCAUAAAUUUCAUGUAUAAAAAUCGCAUGCAUUGUCAUGUGGAUGGAGUUUAUUGAUAAUUUAAUGGAAAACGGACAGCCAUUAUUGUUGCCGGAUGGUGUUUUUUUUUUUUUUUUUUUUUUUUUUGUCUUAACCAAUAGGUAUUUUGGGGAAGACCCCAAUUAUGAGAGGCACCUUUAAAUUCGUAACACAAUUCAGAUUAGAAGUCUCCCCUCGAGUCGGGAGGCACAUGUUCUCCCAACAAAGGCGACUUUCCUGCGACUCGAAUUGGGGAGCAAACCCAAUCAAACCACUUAAGGGGACUCCAUUGUCAGUAGAGCCAACACUUUGUUGGUUGACGGAUGGUGAUUUUGUGAAGACGACAAUGACUCGUUUCUAAGUUGUUGUUUCUUCUUAUUCAUUCUUCGCCCACGCCUCUCCUUUCCAUCCCAUUUGCUUUUUCUUAGUUCAUGCAACGAUUACAAAAGUUUGGUUUUGUCCGGACAAAUCUUUUAAAAAAAUAAUAAAAGAACAUAUGAUUGUUUUUAAUUACAAUUCUAUAGAUCGAUGAGUAGAAUGACAGAAUUAUGGAGGGGGGCAUUUUAGAUUAAAUCUAUGAUAUCACGUCCAAAUAUUUUUUAUUAUGGCAGAUCUAUUUACCUCUCAAAUAAUUACAAAAAGAUCUAUUUACCUCCAUGAUUUGUAUUAUUGGACUCCCCCACUCCCCCUCAGGUUUGAAAAGAUUAUGUACAUUUUUAAUAGUAGUUAUUUAUGAACUCACAUGGAUUGAACCAAUUUCUUUUGUGUUAUUAGGAGAUACAUUAAUAGAAAAAUAAAAGAUACUAAUACAAUAAAAUUUUUUUUUUAUAGUGAUGUUAUUUAUAGGAAUAAUUUUCUUAUAGUUAUAAAUAAGAAUAAGUUUUAUAUUUUAAUCAAUUAUAUUAUUUUUAGAUUUCGUCUCAAGGAACUCGCUCCAUAUAAUAAUAUUUAUCUAUAUAUUAUAAAAUAAUAAUUUUGAUAAUUAUACCUCUAUUAAAUUAUAAACUUUUCGUAAUAAUAAAACUAAUUUCAUCCCAACGAUAUAAACUGUACGGAUAUAGUUAUUGUAUUGCCAUUUGUUAGAUGUUGAAACAUGUGAAUGAAUAACGAUUAAGAGCAAAGUGAGACUAAAACAGCAUCAUCAACUAAUGGCAUGGUAAUGAUUAAUUAUAUAGAAUAUUAGGCCAUGGCAUUAUCGAAAACUUUAUGAUAAUCAUGGCAAAAAAAAAUUCAGAUUUAAUUAGCGUGGGGCCAGCUAAAAGGCACAGUGUGUUGCAUACUGUGUGAGUGAGGUGGAGGGUAAUUUCUCUCCCACCUAACACUAUAACUAUUAAAUAAAUAAAACUGAAAAUAGCAAAAGAAAAUCCAACGACCUUCAUUCAACUUUUAGAAAGCACUUGACUCCUUUCGAGUGAAAUUUCUUGAGGGUUGGUAAUUGCACUUUUCUCAGAAGGCACGUGGACCACACGCGCCCAAGAGGUUGUGAGAUGGGCCUAUUUAAUUAUUUUUUGUUUUUUAUAUUAUGGACUUUAAUUGUGACAUUGGUUAAGGCUAGAAUAUGGACGAGAGAAGAAUGGGAAAAUAUGAAAUUAUCAUAUUACAAUAAAUUGUUAACAAGAACAAAAGCAACGGGUCCAAUCAUAAAAGAUAAAAGAGAGGUACGAUACAAUAGUUGUAAUAUAAUUUUAUUCUAGUUAAGGAUAUUAAGAAUAAAAAUAAUAAAAAAUUUAAUAUGUAUGGGGCAAAAUAAUAAUAAAUUUUAUAUAAAAAAUCAUAUUUUUUAGAUCAUCUUAACUGAAUUUGAGGAGUCACGGCUUAACUGAUGAAUGUAAUUUAAAAUGACUUUUAAAUCACGCGUCUCCACUUAUCCAAUACUACCUUCGUUCUUAUUUGUUACUCGGAAAAAUUCUUGUGUUUUCAAAAGAGAUUUGUGUUUUAUUUUUUUUUGGCUUAUCAGAUGAUUUAACAAAAUUAUCAAUUAAAUCUAUUCAUUUACUAAAAUCGUUUUAUUAAUAUCAUUAUAAAUGACUCUUAAAAUAUAUGACAAAAAUAUUGUAAAAUAUGUUAGUCUCAUUGUUGUGCACUAAUGAAUUUUCAACUAAAUUUACAAAGCCCGAUCUAAUUAAUUCUCCUCCAAAUAUGUAAGAGUACAAAAGAUUUUUUUAAUUAAGAAAUAUAUUUUAAAAAUAAAUAUUCAAAAAAAAAUAAGAAGAAGAAGAAGAACUGCCGUCAACAUAGAGCGCGUGGCUACAUAAUCACAUAAAAUAAGAAUGUCUUUUUUACUGAAAGCUGCGCCUCUGCGCAUUAUAUAUACAUAUUUUAUUUAUUUAUUAUUAUUAUUGUUAUUAUUUUUAAUUAUUAUUAUCAUAAACAGCAAACAAUAAUUCCACUUCCACACACGCAAACAAUAAAUAAAAAUAACAAUUUUUUUUUUUUUCAGCUUCUGUGAAAUAACUACUACACUCUUUACUAUACGUUUGUUAAAGGCUUCUCACCAAAAUCCAAAGUCUCUCUCUAUGAGUGCCCUAGAUCUGUAAACCCAGGAUCAUUCAUUUUUUGUUUUUCGAGUUUCAAAGUUUUGAUCUUUUUGCAAUUCUUUGCUUGAAUCAGGGGCAAGAAGAUUAAGCAUGCUCAAAAGGUACACACUUUGCGUUCAAAGAUGAACAUUUUCGUGUUUUCAGAAUUGGGCUUGUGAGUUUUUAGGGGUUUUUUUUAUUUUUUAUUUUAAAUUUUUGGGUUGUGCUGAAGCAGUGAUUUUGAGUUUCUUGAGCUGUGAAUUUAUUGGAUUUUGGUAGUGAAGAUGUCUGUUGAUGCUCUGGAACUGUCAUUUUCAAGCUAUUAUGCAUAUUUUGGAGUUUAGGGUUUAUACUGAAUAUGGUUGCAAGUAUUUUUGUUUAUUAGUGGAAAGAGUUUACUUGAUGGUGUGAGAGUUGGGCUGCAUUCAGUGAAUCUUGAAUUUGAGUUGGAUUUGCUCCUUUAUUUAGUUGAAAAAGUUGUUAUUGAUAUAGAGUUUACUAAAUAUGGGUAUAGAAGAAGAGGAUGGUAGUAUAGUGAAAAUGCGAUAUUUGAAGGGUAACUAUUGAUUUUGAAGGAAGGUUGUGUUGGGGGUGGUGUUGGUCAAUAAUGGGUUGCAUUUGUUUUAAACCCUCUGCUAUUGAAGAUAGUAAAGAGAGCCCAAGAGAGCGUCUCUCAAGCAAGGCCUCGUCAGACUUAAGAGGAUCCAGGGCAACCUCCUCAAGGAGAGAGGAAGUGUAUCGAGUGAAAGAUCGAUUUGAUAGUAAUGAUGGAAGAGCAAUGUUAAUUGAUAAGCAGGUUAAUGGCUCUGUUCGGUUGCAUGGCGAGAAUUUUGAUCGGAAGAGGGAGAAGAUGGAAUAUGUUGUUGCCCAACAUCAUCCAGGGAUGGGUAGUAUUCCAAAAGCUUCGGAAGGGGAGCAGGUUGCUGCUGGGUGGCCAGCCUGGUUAGCUGCAGUGGCUGGAGAAGCUAUCCGGGGAUGGGUGCCACGGCGUGCGGAUUCCUUUGAGAAGCUGGAUAAAGUAUGUUCCUUCACUGAUUAUUGUGGUGCAUAAAUAUUGUCAUAUAGUGUUUAUUUGCACAUCGAUAUUGUCCUUUUUGAAUUUUCUGUUGUGAUGAAUUAGUAAUUGCUUGAUAGUUUUAUUAUCAGUUUUGUAUCUGGAUAACGAAUGAUAAUAAGUUAUCUUGAGAGGGAACAUUUACCAAACAGCUCUAACUUUGUGUCAUAAGCUCUCAAGGUUUCCUUAAAAAAAAAAAAUAUUUCUGGUCAUAUAUCUAUGGAGUUAUUUAUGGUACAUGUGUAUAAUACAAAUCUAUCCUUAGAUGAAAUUAUGAUUUUAACUUUUGGAUUUUGUUCAAGAAUGUGAAGUAUAGCCUGGGAAACAUCCAAGAAGCAUCACCAUGAAUUCAGAUUCUUAUAGAACUAUCCAUUCUACUUCUGCAGAGUUCAAAUAAUGUUCAGAGUAAUAGUUAGUUCUUAUAGAAAACCAGUUAAUGUUAGGGAGAACUGAACUUUGGUGGGUAAUUUGAGUGUAACUCACUAGGUAUGAAGAAACUUGAAGAUAUUGCACACUAAUGCGCAUGAUUUUAGAUGAUUGAAAUUUGUGGAUUAUGAUGCGUAUCAACAGUUUUAAGCAUACAUGCAUGUUUGCUUGUGUAAUAUUUGACUGCUUGCUAGGUCUUGGAUUAUGCAUGCUACUUCUCUUUAAAAUUAAGCUGAUACUGCACUUUUGGAAUUUUAGCUAAUUUUGUGCCCAUCACUAUUUUUCUCCUUCCCCUUUUUUGACUACUAUUUUGCUAAUAUUUACAUUUUUUGUUUUUGUUUUUGUUUUUGUUUUUGUUUUUGGGGAGUCCCUUUCUAUUUUUUCCAGAUCAUUCUAUUUAGUGAGUAGUUACCAUGAUUUAUCUUCAAUUUUUUGUCCUUCUCCAAUGCCCACUUUGGUUGACUUCACUUGGAGGCUGGUUUUGAUUUAUAGUUUGAUGACAACAUAUUGCAAUGCAGAUUGGCCAGGGAACUUACAGUAAUGUUUAUAGGGCUCGUGAUCUUGAUCAAAAGAAAAUUGUUGCUCUGAAAAAAGUAAGGUUUGAUAACCUGGAGCCCGAGAGUGUUCGCUUUAUGGCAAGGGAAAUCCAUAUUCUCCGCAGACUUGAUCACAUAAAUGUAAUAAAGCUGGAAGGCCUCGUUACAUCAAGGAUGUCUUGCAGCUUGUAUCUUGUUUUUGAGUACAUGGAACAUGAUCUGGCUGGGCUUGCCUCACAUCCGGGACUGAAAUUUUCAGAAGCACAGGUGUUUUUGAUUAUUUUUCCCCAAUUUUUUAUUUUCCAUAGCUAGAACUGUGUAUUUAAAUUUCAUUUCUGAAAAUGCAGUUAAUUGUGUACCUAAGCUUGAUAUAUCAAUUACAUGGAAGCUAGAUUAUUAAAUGCAGAUACAUUUAGGUAUUAAGUGUUUAUUUUUUUGGGCAGGUUAAAUGUUACAUGCAACAACUUUUGUGCGGGCUUGAUCAUUGUCAUAGCCGUGGAGUCCUUCAUCGUGAUAUAAAGGGAUCCAACCUUUUAAUUGACAACAAUGGCAUCCUGAAAAUCGCAGACUUUGGCCUGGCUAGUUUUUAUGAUCCCGAUCAAAAUCAGCCUUUGACAAGCCGUGUUGUAACUCUUUGGUACCGGCCACCAGAGCUUUUAUUGGGAGCAACUUACUAUGGCACUGCUGUGGAUUUAUGGAGUACAGGUUGCAUACUUGCAGAAUUGUAUGCUGGCAAGCCUAUAAUGCCUGGAAGAACUGAGGUAUUUUUAAACAGAAUGGGAAAAUUAUGGGAUUUUCUGCCUACAUUUAGAAAUCUACUUUCUUUAACUUCUUAUGGUCCUAACAGGAUAUUUCUGCUGCAAGGUUUUCCUGUUAGGAAUAAUGCCCAUGGUUAAAGUUCCUAAUAAUAGUUAGACCCAAAAUUUUGUGAGAUAACAGUCCUGAUUUGAUUUAGAUAGUGAUUAGAUUUUUCUGUUGUAUCUGCCUGAUUCAUACAUAAGUUCAUGACUUUUAUAAGAGAAUAAUUCUAUUCAGAAAUGCAUGUAACUAUGUGGCUUAUAUUUUGGAGACUUUAGUUUACUGCUUUAUUUCAUGCUUGGCUGUUACGGAUGGAUGUGGUUUGAUCUGGUUUCAGGCUAGUCGGACUUAAAAUUAUUACAGUUGACCUAAAUACGCUGGAGUUGACAGUAAAAUGUAGCUUCGAGUAAUUCUAGUAGCCAACUAAGUUGUACCUGUUUUUCAGAAAUUAUUGAUAUCGCAUAUAUCUUCAGUUUUAUUUCUCUAGAUUGUUUUAGUAGAAAUUAUCUGUUGAAGAUGAGUCCUGGGGCCUCUUUUACAAUUAGUGACAACCACUUGAAGAAUGUCAUGAAUCAAUGAAGCUAAUUUUUCUCCUGUAUGAUUCCUUUAAGCUGGGAGAAGUUCCAUACUUAGUUGGUUCCUUGCUUGAGCUUGAAAAUAAAAAUAAAAAUCAGUCAGUUGUAUAUCAGUUUAUAUGUAUUUGUUUAUACUUCUUCUGAGUAGCAAUCUCGCACCUAGGAUAUUAUUUCGUAUUUAUCCCCUACCAAAUAAAUGAUUGGAACUUUGGGAUUUUCUGAUACAAGUUGUCCUAGCAUAGUCUCUCUUCUGUUUUGUUUUGUCUUAUUUUGCUCUUUCUAAGUAGCACCAUUAUUUAGUUUAAUUACUCAAAAGUUUGCAUCUUUUUGUCUUGUAGGUGGAGCAAUUACAUAAAAUUUUUAAGCUUUGUGGCUCACCUUCUGAGGAUUAUUGGAGAAAGUCUAAGCUGCCUCAUGCAACCAUCUUUAAGCCCCAACAGCCUUAUAAACGCUGUGUUGCUGAAACAUUUAAGGAUUUUCCUGCACCAGCUUUAGCGCUCAUGGAGACCCUUCUUUCUAUUGAUCCAGCUGAUCGUGGAUCUGCAGCAUCUGCUCUUAGGAGUGAGGUGUGAAUUUUUUGAUAAAUCAACACAUAUAUUAUGUUUUCGAUGAUUCCUAGACCCUUUUUGCAUUGUGUUUUUUCAUAAAGGGGUGUUAAUCCAUUAAUCUUGAUUGGUGAUCAGCUGGACAUUCUCUUGUUUGCAAAUCAAAGUACUAAUUUUUCAAAAACUCUAGAUUUUUAGUCUGGCAGGGUUUAUUUUGUCUUCAUAUGUGCUCAGAUAUUUUACUUUCUUUAUAUAUAUAUAAGAUUUCCAAUGAUAACUUCAGCUUGUGCCUUAUAUACUGUACAUCUCAGUGACUCAUUAUGCUUCAAGUAGAAUUUUAAAUAAUCAGUACACUGUUGACUAGAGUGUUUGCUAUCCAAUUUUUAUUGGUCAUCAAAAUUUCCCAUAUGAAGCCAGUUCCUUAACCUGUAAAUUUUAUGUCAAGUUUAAAUAAUGCACAUUUUCUUGAAUGCUGUUAAUGAUGCAAUUAUCGUCACACAUAUAUUCUUCUGUGGCAAUUUAUCAUAAGGAAAGAAUUUUGCUGGGAGUUGGUGGUUUGGAUGGCAUGUGCAAUUAAGCUUCAAGGAACUAUUGUAGGAUUUCUUGAUAACUAAAGUUGGAGUACUAAAUUGAAGCUUACAUGUCAAGAAUUGUUUAACCUUAGAGGCACUAUUCUUAUUUGUGGCUAUGGACGUCAGUGGUUGUAGUUUGUGAUAGGGUUUGAUAUUUAACACAGGCUUGCAUAUUUAAAGACGGCAUUGUUUUAUCUCUAGUAUUUCACUUUGGUUUCAACUCCUUUAUGUUAUGAAAGAGGACAUCAGGUGUAGAUCACUACAGGUUAAAAGGCAUCAUGAGUUGGUAAAACUUUUGUACAAUAACAGAUUUUAUACAAUAUAGGGUUGGAAACCGCAGUUCAUAUGGGGACUUAAUGUACCAUCAAGUAUUUUAGAUUAAACUGCUGUCAUGUGUUUCUAAGAUUGAGGAAUUUCAUCCGAUGGGAUCAUUGGUAAGUAAAUCUCCUAACUUUUAGGAAAUCUUUUGAUGGAUGUGAAGAUUAGUCAGGAAUAGAAAAGUUUUUUGUCUUUUAUUCCCAUACAGUUUUUAAAAUAGUCUGUGUAGUACUUUGGGCUUGUACAUUUUGUUGCUUUUUAAAUCAUGAUAUUGAAUUAUUCAUCACUCUCUUCCUUAUUUCUUAUUAAAAAAAUAAAUAGAUAUUAUUCUCUUGGUAAUUAGUGAAUAACUUGCUCCCUACUCAUUGCAACAUUCUGAGUUUCUUUUGCUUUAUCUUAUCCAGUUUUUUACCAUGAAGCCUCUGCCUUGUGAUCCAUCCAGCUUGCCAAAGUAUCCUCCCAGCAAAGAAUUUGAUGCAAAAAUACGGGAUGAAGAAGCGAGAAGGUGCAUAUUGUCAUAAUUAGAUCAUGUUUUUUCAUGUCAAAAUUGAUUGCUUGCUGGAUUUGAUUAUUGGGUUAAGAUUACAUUUUUGUUGGGUAAUCUUAUAAUGAGCCCACUAUUGGAAUUUUUUUCAUCCGUUUUAUUUUUUAUUUUAGGGGCUUUCAUUUGUUGGACAGCCCAAUGUGAUAUUUUUCUGUUCUUCUCAAUUCAUAAGACCACUGAAGUGCUGUAGGUAUGGUAGGUGCUAAAGAAUGUAUACUUUUUUUAAUCCUGUAGGCAAGGAGGAAGCAAGGGCCAGAGAAUGGACCUUGAAAGGAGAGGAACAAGAGAGUCCCGAGCCAUCCCUGCACCUGAUGCUAAUGCUGAAUUGGUGUUGUCUAUGCAGGUAGUUAUUUUCUUUUGUUAAUGUCCUCUUGUACUGUCAUUCUUUCUCUUAUUGUCAAUGCAUGCCCUAAUCAUUAUGGUGUAGUUUUAUGUAAUCUGAUCUUUAUGCGUUUGCUUAUUCAUGUUAAAUUUUCAUUUAUGAGCUGUAAUAUAAAGAAAGUAACAAGAAAGUACUGCAAUUUGUUUCUUAAUUACAGUUUGGCAUGAAUUUUCUUAAUUAUGUAUUUGCACAAUCUUCCUGCAAAGGAGGUAUUAGGUAUGAAGAGCAACGGCUAAACUGAAGGAAAAGGAAUGCAAGUAUAUGAAAAGCAGAGCUAUUUCCUGAAAUAUAAAGCUUAAAGCUAAUUUAAAGAAGCUAUAUAACUUUCAAAUGUGACUGACAUAGCAGAUGAUAUGAUUGGAAAGUUCUUUAGUCAGCAAUUUUCCAAUACCUUUUAAGGCCUACCUUUAGAGCUAAGCUGCAGUUACUGCCCAUUUUGGCCUAACCACCUUUUCUCCAUUCGAUUUCACCGAAAGACUACCUCAUUAUCUCCCAGUACAUUGCAUGCAAAACUUUUCUGCUACAACCAAGGGUUAUUACUCCAUUUGUCUUCAUUUAACAAGCCUCCAAAUACCAUCCUUGUCAGUUAACAUAUCUAUAACCACCUUUGCUUCAAUUUUCAACAGAGUUUUGUGUUAAUAACAUGUGAGAUGUAUGAUCUUUUUACCCAAUGCAACGUUGCAUUUUAAGGGCUAAUUAUAGAUCUUCAUUUGGAUGAUGUCACUAUGCCGCGUAUUAUACAAAAGCUGACAAUUUGGUACUGCAUCUGAAGUUUUGGCUGAAAGCAAUUUUGAUAUUUGUUAAUGGAACUAAUUGGAUUAGUUAUCGAUCACAAUCAUUGGUGAACAAUAUAUUUUGUUAGUGUGCAUCUGUUUGCAAGUUUUUUCUGUUCAAUAGGAAUAGCCUGCUGCCCCAAGUUUGUACAGUUUUAAUACCUUUGCAAAUAUCAAGUGCUUUUAUUUAUUUAAUUUUUUAUAUACCUUUACUUUAAUUUUACGAAUACACUAAUAUGACUUAUUUAUUAUUUCAGAAAAGACAAAGCCAGUACAACUCUAAGAGCCGGAGUGAGAAGUUUAAUCCUCAUCCAGAAGAAGUUGCAUCUGGCUUCCCUAUUGAUCCACCUAGACAAUCACAAGUGACAGAAUCAAGUGCAGGUCCCCAGGGGCAUAAUCAUAAAAGAGCCUCCCACUCAGGACCACUGGCUCAGCGUGCUGCGUGGGCAAAGGCAGGAAAAAACACAGAUGAUGCCCCUAAGAUUUCAACCGGUGCUGACUUGUCAACGGGACUAGUGGCUGCAAGGAGGAGUUUAUUAUCUGAAGAUCGUAGAGAAAGGUCUGGUUCAGCUCAACCAGAAGUUCCGAAACUAAUUGCAAGGUUUCCAGGAUCCUUUAAAGAGGCAUCAGAAUCUUUUAUCCAACAUGAUCAGAAGCAUCAUGCUCAAGGUGUUGCAGGUUCUCAUCAAAAGGAAGAUGGAAGAAUUGGCAACAAAGAUCCAAUUCUUGUUAGUAUUUGCUGUGCCUUAUUUUUCUUCCUAUGUAUAGGUUUACAAGUUUUCUGAAUAUUGUUUUCUUGACCAAACUCUUAACCAAUAGGAUGAAUCCUAUUUCUUAGGGAUUUGACUGCCUGCUUAUUAUUCAUGCUAUCAUGAUUGUCUGACGCCCUGACUCUUAUGUUUUGCAUUUUGGUCCAGCUUGGCUAUGGGUCGAAGGGUCACAAAAUUCAUUACUCUGGCCCAUUGAUUGUGCCUUCAGGCAAUGUGGACCAGAUGCUCAAGGAUCAUGAUCGCCAGAUUCAAGAAGCUGUUAGACGGGCACGUGUUGACAAGGCAAAGGUCAGAAAAGUUCAGAUGGAAGGGAACCAAUUAUCAACAAAUUCAUUAUUUGUUUCUGGCCGUUAAGCUGGCCCAAGUAAUCCUCCAAUGAAGACGAACCUUAUCAGGAAGAUCACUGCAGAAUAACUUGGCCGGUGAAAAUCACUUGUGAAAUAUAAUUUUAGUCAUUAGUCAGGUUUUUGUAUAGGUGGUGUUUUAGAAAGAUGCGCAGUGCUCGCAAUUAGCUAUGUUCAUAGCUUACCGAAAUAUCUCUUUGCAAUUCAUCACUUGUAUUUUUCUUUCCACUCGGCAACUGUAAUUUCUAAGUUAUGGGCCAUUCUUAUAGAGCUUAUUUAGCCAUAAAUUAUUUUGGAAAAACGACCAUGUCUUAUUAUGUGAUUAAUAGGAGGAAUGUGUCGAAUGUCCUUUGCUGAAGUUGCCAAGAAUUUAGUUGAUCCCACUGUAUCUUUAAGCUUGAUGCUUACAAUAUUACAUUGACAAUUCUAGUUGUAGUACUAGUCAACUUUGAUUUCUUCCCAUGCAGCAGCCAAGUUAGACGCAAAUGGGGCCUUGACUAUCUAGUCUGGGAUUUAGUGUUUAAAGAAAAUUCUGAUUUAUUGCCGCAGCAGCAGCUAUUUAUUGCCAGGUUUGCUAGCCAACUUAGAAUUGCUGAGCUGUUUAGCUGAAAAUGAACUUCGUCAAACUGCUACUGUUGUUUCUGACCAUAGGCUUGGUUGAGCCAACCAGUGCUUUGAAGUUCGCCUUCGAUGGCUUCAACACUUCAAAACUGUUGCUUUACGGCAGCGCAAAACUGGAUUCCGGUGCCAUUUCACUCACCCAAGAUACUACUUUCUCCAUUGGAAGAGCCCUCUAUCAUGCUAAGAUCCCCCUAAGACGUACAAACUCAUUUGAAACCUCUUUCACCUUCUCCAUCACCCCAUACAAGGGCCAGCUUCCCGGCCAUGGGCUGGUCUUCAUCCUCGUGCCUUCCGCUGGCAUCCAAGGAGCUGCUGCAUCUCAACAUCUUGGCUUCCUGAAUAGAACAAAUGAUGGUAAUCCGAACAACAAUGUUUUUGGUAUUGAAUUCGACGUAUUUCAAAAUCAAGAAUUCAAUGAUAUCAACACUAACCAUGUUGGUCUGAACGUGAAUUCCCUCACUUCUUUGGCUGCUUAUGAGGCUGGAUAUUGGUUUCAGGACAAUCAGAAUAAGAGUAACUGGCAUUUCCAUGAGUUGAAGCUGAACAAUGGCAAGAUUUAUCGGGUAUGGAUUGAUUACAAAGAUUCUUUUGUUAGUGUAAGUAUAGCUCCUGCAAAAAUGAAGAAGCCUUUGUGGCCAUUGUUGAACGUUUUUAUUGAUCUCUCAGACUUUUUUCUUGAUGAAAUGUAUGCCGGUUUCAGCGCCGCCACCGGACAACUUGUUGAAAAUCAUAAAAUCCUGAGUUGGAGCUUCUCCAAUUAAUUUUCCUUUGAUCAUUUUCUUAAAAAUAUGUGCGAAUAAGAAUCCUUUUUGUUGGAUCAUGAUGAAUAUUAGAAUAAGAAGUAUUCUUUCCAUAUAUAUAAUCUUCUUCUCAUAUGGUUUACUAACUGCACUUGUUUUUUUUUUUUAAAAAAAAUAAUAACAUCUAUUAUUAGGGUCAAGAAAGACCAACAAUACACCAUCAUAAAGGUACAAAUAUAAGGUUAGUCUUAAGUAUAAUAUAUAGGACAAUGCUCAAGGGUCAAGCUUAAGUUAAAGAACACCCAACCACAAAGUAAUUAAGAAUUAUAAUUUUAAAAUUGAAAAGAAGUAUAUUUAUUUUAGCAGUAUAUACAAAGUAAACAUGUCAAAAUGCUUUCUUUGUAGACUAAUCUAAAAGGGUAGUUUUUAGGGAUCUCUUCUAAGAUUAGGCGUAUUAACACUUAGAUAAAAAGUAUGAUCGUGGUUACAUAUACCUCCUGUAUCGUCUGUAUUUAAUUUCGUAUAUAGAUUAGCCAAUAUAGGAGGGUAAAUUAGUAAAAGCUCAUUUAAAAUUGAAAUAAACAAAAAGCCGCUUUAAAGAUGAUAAACCCACUGAAACACUAAAAAAAUCCGGAUGAAAAUCAGUAAGCCAUUAGCCAACGGAUGGGAGAAUGCUUGUUGUUCUCUUUCAUUAAGCUAACUCAUCUCAAUACCAUUUUCUCUUUCAAUCAACCGAAGCAUACGCACAUUCCUCAUCUCUAAAUGCUUUGAAGAUGGAAAAAAAAAAUCAAAUUUUAAUUGCCAAGUCCCGCAAAUUUAGCUUCUUAGAUUUAUUAACAACAAAAGCAUCGGUGGUGGCUUAAUUGUGGUGUCAGGUGAAAAUCACUGGCGUUCGGCGUCAUACGUGACUGUCAUUAACUUGAAUUGAAAGAAGGUUAGUCUUUGAAAAAAAUUUAGAUUUAAUUUUUUUGUUUUAAUAUGUAUUAUAUUUUUAAAUUAAUUAGAAUUUUAUUUUGUUCAAUCACAGAUCGGGCUUUUUUUAUUGGUUGAAAAUGAAAAUGGGCUUGUUGAAGUGUUAGAGAAAUUUUUGGCAUUGUGUUGUUGUUCAUUAAAAAAUGAUACUAGUUUGUGGAUGUAUUGAAGAAGAUGCGUGUUGUUUGUUACUUUCAGACUUUAGCUAUCUGAUUUGUCAAGUUAUGAGCUAAUCAAAACAUAUGAUGUUAGAAAUUAGUGAUUUUUAGGUGAGUUCUUUGUCAAAUAAAAAUGGAUUAGCACUGUUAUGAAGGAUAUGGAUGCUAUUUGGGAGAAUUGACUUCUUAAUAUGUGCUUGAACUAAAUAUACCAAUGCACAUUAGAAAUUAGUGAAGUUGUUGUUUGUGUUGUGAUGCUUUGAAGAAGUUGAAAAGGAUAUUGCUUGUGCUCCUUAAAUGAAGAAUUUUUUGUUGCUUGAUAAGAAAAGCAUUAGUGACAAAUAAAAUGAAGAAAUUUUGGAUGAUGUUUGUGUAAAAGAUUUAAAUUAUUUGUCUUAUUGAAGCUGUCCUGUGUUUUUAUUUGCGACUUAACCAUUAAAAUGACUAUGUAACAUUGAUUAGAGGCUGCAUGUGCUCUUUUUAUGAAGGAAGCAGUAGUGGCAUUCCUGAUGGGGUAAUGAGAUGCUAAGAUGGGAAUGUAUGACCUUUUAAUCAUGUUUUCGCUUUAAAUCGAAGUGACUACAAUCCCUAAGUCUUCUAAAAAGAAACUUAAUUUUUCUUUAAAGAUGUAAAAACACAUCAUUUCCAUUUUUAAGUGACUAUGAUAAUGCUUCAAAUGAAAGUUGGUGUUGGUUUUUGUCAAAAUCUUUUGUUAAGCACGGUGAAAUGAUUCAAUUUUCAUCGAAUAUGCGAAAGUUCCUAAGUGAAUAACUUGUGGUCUCAUGUUAUUUUUUUAGAUGAUGCUCUUGUGGAGGUCAAAAAGGAAAAGAGAGUCUUUGUGAAAAAACAAAAGCAGAGAACAAUUAUGCCUUUCUCUAAUUGUCUUUCUUUUGACAUGUAUAUCAGGACUAGUGUGCACAACUCACCUUUAUUGACUAAAUAAUUUAACCAUGAACGAGUAAAAAUUUAAUACUUUUCCUACUGAUCGUAUGUGAAUUGAAUCAACUGUAUUGAAAAUUUUGAUCAAAGCAAAAAAAAAAAAAAAGGCUUUCAGCCUUCAUUACAUUCGAAAAUAGCAAGUAGGAAUUUUGUAAGCCCAACUGAAAAGGAUUAAGGUAACCUGACUCUUCUUGUUCUAGAUUCUUUUUUCUUUCUUUGUUCUACUUCCCAUUUCAUCUUCAGCUCAUUCACUAAUUGGCAAGAAUAACUGGAAAGGAAGAAGGUAGAAUAUGCUGAAAAUAUGAAAAAUAACGUAGCUACAUAUCACAAAGAAGUAGAAGAGGAAAGGCAAUGGUUGAAGUUAGUGAUUAAGAAUAAAUUCUGAAGCUAAAGAAGAUGGUUGAAAAAUAUCAUGCAACUAAGAUCACUUUAAAGAUCAAUGGAACUGAACAAAUGUUAACAAUGGGAUGUUGUGCAUUAGAAAUACCAAAUUUGCUUUUGAACUGUUGUAUUAUGUUCAAUUUUUAAAAUUUAUUUCACUGUAUAGUAUCACUAGCCCUAGUUUUCCAGCAAUAUAUUUAUUUUCUUUUUACAAUUGAUGAAUAUUUGAUGUCAAAUUUUUAUUUCCCAAGGGUGUUAAGUGUAAUGAUUAAUUUAAUAUUUAGCACCAAGGGUGUUUAAUUCUUUUUCUAGAACCAAGGGUAUUUUUGACAUAUCACUGAUCAACUAACGGUCAAGGAAACUGAGCACAGACGGCAAGGGAGGUCUCUGUGAUUAUGAUGAUACUUUCUAUCUAAAUGUCAAUACGCCAAAUCUCGGGGGAGGUACCUAAAUCUAAAAGGGGAGUCUUUUGUUUCAUUUUUUUGGCCAUUUUCUCGGUUUUAUAACUAUUCUUAUCCCAAACUGAAAAUCCAGAUAGAUACGAAUGGUAACUAGCUCUCUAUCGCUUCGUCAUAUAUCACAAUGAAAAAGCAGUUAUGCAACUUCAUUUUUCUUGUUCAUUCAUUGCCCAUUCACUGAUCUCAAAUGUUUGCUGAUAAAUUCACUGUCCAUGAUCUAACAAGUCAACUUGUAUGUUUUUGCUUUGGUUACAGAAUCCUUCAACCAUAGUGCUUUGAGGUGAUUGUUUACAUAUGCACUUUGAGAGCUUAUAUUUUCGCAAUACGCAAGAAUUUUUCUAUCAUCGCGAAGCAUUCAUUUAACCUGUUUCAAUGGUAAUUUCAUUCACGGGUCAUAUAGGAAUAUGUUUUCCUCUUUAACCAUACUAGCAAACUUAUUUGGUCAGUUUUGUUAAUGAUUAUAAGGGUUGCAGUGAUUGCAUUUGGAAUACAUUCAGUACACUAAAACAUACAUAGUACGUGAAAAUGGAGUUAGAAUUUCUGUAAAAUCAGACUAGCCUUUGCAUUCUUAUUUUAUUUUCCUAGAUAUCGUCUCUAGUACAAAUUCAACCAUGCUCUUAGCAAUUAGGAAAAUAGUUCAGGUCCUGCUAAUGUAGGCAAUAAAUUAAUUUGAUUUGUCUAAAUUAUUAUUAAAAAAAUUUUAAUGAUACAUCAAGAACAAUACAAUUUAUAUUCAGUACAUCAAAGCAAUAUGAUAAAAUUUGAAAAAUUUUGGCUAGAUUGAUUUGUCUACAAAUUUUAUCUACAUUUAGUCUAACGGCAGCUCAAUCUCCUCCCACCUCAAGUGGGCAGAGUUGAAACGUCAAAUCUCUUUUUUUCAACUCGAGAUUUUACCAUCUCAACUAAAUGGCACCUACCUCUACAAAUCUUAUUUGUAAGGUAUUAUGUAUUUAUCAAUCGGCAAUGAGUACUUUGUCAUUGCUCAUUUGGAGCAGAGUUGAAUUAAUGAGAAUCCAUGAAUACUGCUCGAAGAUAUCUAAUGUGCCCUAGUAGUUUGGUCUACUCUUCAAACCACCCCUCCCCUUUUGCAUUAUUUUCCUUAUUUCUCAAAAAAAAAAAAUUCUCUCUUGGUAAUUAGUGAAUAACUUUCUCCCUACUGUUUGUGACAUCUUUUGCUUUAUCUUAUCCAGCUCUUUACCAUGAUAACUUUCUCCCCUGCCUUGUGAUCCUUCCAGUUUGCCAAAAGUAUCCUCCCACCAAAGAAUUUGAUGCAAAAAUACGGGAUGAAGAAGCCAGAAAGUGCAUAUUGUCACAAUUAAAGCAUGUUUUUCAGUAUCAGUAAAGAAAUUUUAUAGUUUCAGUUUGACUUUGUUGGAAAUAGUGCUUCAUAUCAAAAUUGAUUGCUUGCUGGAUUUGAUUAUUGGGUUAUGAUUACAUUUUAGUUGGGUAAUCGCAUAAUGAGAUCAUUGUUGGAAAUUUUUAUUUGUUUUAUUUUUUAUUUUCGGGGCUUUCAUUUGGUGGACAGCUCAAUGUGAUAUUUUUCUGUUCUUCCCAAUUCAUAUCAUGCUAGGUGAUAAAUAAUGUAUAUAUAUAUUUUUUAAAUCUUGUAGGCAAGGAGGAAGCAAGAGCCAGAGAGUGGACCUUGAAAGGAGAGGAACAAGAGAGUCCCAAGCCAUCCCAGCCCCUGAUGCUAAUGCUGAAUUGGUGUUGUCUAUGCAGGUAAUUAUUUUCUAUUGUUAAUGUCCUUUUGUACCGUCAUUCUUUCUCUUAUAACUUAUUGUCAAUGCAUGCCUUAAUUACCAUGGUGUAGUUCUAUGUCAUCUGAUCUUUAGGCUUUUGCUCACUCAUGUCAAAUUUACAUUUAUGAGGUGUAUGUAAAGAAAGUAACAAGAAAGUACUGCAAUUUAUUUCUUAAUUACAGUUUGGCAUGAAUUUUCUUUAUUACAUAAUUGCAGUCUUCCUGCAAUGGAGGUAUUAAGUAUGAAGAGCAACCACUAAACUGAAGAAAAAUGAAUGCAAGUAUACGAAAAGCAGAAGCUCAUUCCUGAAAUAUAAAGCUUAAAGCUAAUUUAAGGAAGCUAUAUUAUUUUCAAAUGUGACUGACUUAGCAAAUAACAUGAUCGGAGAGUUCUUUAGUCUGCACUUUUCCGGUACCUUUUAAGCCUUACUUUGCAGCUAGCCAGCAGUUACUGCCCGUUUUGGCCUAACCACCUUUUCUCCAUUUGGUUUCAUGCAAGACUAUCUCAUUAUCUCCCAAUACAUCCCAUGCAAAACCUUCCUGCUACGACCAAGGCUCAUUACUCCAUUUGUCUUCAUUUGACAAGCCUCCAAAUGUCAUUCUUGUCAGUUAACAAAUCUAUAACCACCUUUGCUUCAAUUUUCAACGGAGUUUUGAGAUAAUAACAUGAAAGAUGUAUGAUCUUUUUCCCCAAUCCAACAUUGCAUUUUAAGGGUUGAUUAUGGAUCUUCAUUUGGAUGAUGUCACUAUGCUGCAGUAUUAUACAAAAGCUGACAAUUUAGCACUGCAUCUGAAGUUUCGGUUGAAAGCAAUUUUGAUAUUUGUUAAUGGAACUAAUUGGAUUAGUUAUCUGUGACAAUAAUUGGCGAACAAUAUAUUUUUUGAGUGUGCGUCCGUUUGUCAAGCUUUUGCUGUUCAAUAGGAAUAGCCUGCUGCCCCAAGUUUAUACAGUUUUAAUAACUUUUCAAAUAUUAAGUGCUAUUUUUUUUAUAUGCCUUUACUUUAAUUUGAUGAACACACUAAUAUGACUCCUUUAUUAUUUCAGAAAAGAAAAAGUCAGUACAACUCUAAGAGCCGGAGUGAGAAGUUUAAUCCUCAUCCAGAAGAAGUUGCAUCUGGCUUCCCUAUUGAUCCACCUAGAGAAUCACAAGUGGCGGAAUCAAGCUCAGGUCCCCAGGGGCGUAAUAAUAAAAGAGCCUCCCAUUCAGGGCCACUGGCUUAGCGUGCUGCAUGGGCAAAGGCAGGAAAAAACACAGAUGAUGCCCCAAAGAUUUCAACUGGUGCUGACUUUUCAUCAGUUCUAGUGGCUGCAAGGAGGAGUUUACUAUCUGAGAUCAUAGAGAAAGGUCUGGUUCAGCUCAACCAGAAGUUCUGAAACGAAUUUUAAGGUUUCCAGGAUCCUUUAAAGAGGCCUCCGAAUCUUUUAUCAAGCAUUGUCAGAAGCAUCACUCUCAAGGUGUUGCAGGUUCUUAUCAUAAGGAAGAUGGAAGAAUUGGCAACAAAGAUCGAAAUCUUGUUAGUAUUUGCUGUGCCUUAUUUUCCAUCCUAUGUAUAGAUUUUCCAUCCUAUGUAUAGGUUUAGAGGUUUUCUGAAUAUUGUUUUCUUGACCAAUCUCUUGACUAAUAGGACGGAUCCUAUUUCUUAGGGAUUUGACUGCCUGCUUAUUAUCCACACUAUCUUGAUUGCCAGACGCCCUGACUCUAUUAUUAUUUGCAUUUUGGUCCACCUUGACUAUGGGUCAAGUCACAAAAUUCAUUACUCUGGCCCAUUGAUUGUCCUUUCAGGCAAUGUGUACCAGAUGCUUAAGGAUCAGGAUCUCCAGGUUCAAGAAGCUGUUAGACGAGGACAUGUUGACAAGGCAAAGGUCAGAAAAGUUGACAUGGAAGGAAACCAAUUGACAACAAAUUUAUUAUUUGUUUCUAGCUGUUACUCUGGCUCAAGUAACCCAAUGAGGCCCAGCCUUGUCAGGAAGAUCACUGCAGAAUAAUUUGGCUGGUGAUUUUCUCUCUUUUGAAAUAUAGUUUGUCAUUAGUCAGGGUUUUUGUAGAGGUGGUGUUUUUGAAAGAUGGCCAGUGCUCACAAUUAGCUAUGUUUAUAGCUUACUGAAAAAUCUCUUUGCAAUUCAUCACUUGUAUUUUUCUUUCCACUCGGCAACUGUAAUUUCUAAGUUAUGGGCCAUUCUUGUGGAGCUCACUAUUAUUUUGGAGAAACGACAGUAUCUUAUUAUGUGAUUAAUAGGAGGAAUGUGUUGGAUAUCCCUUGCUGAAGUUGCCAAGUAUCGUGUUGAUCCCUACGAGCCUUUAAGCUUGAUGCAUACUUUAUCAUGCUGACAAUUUUAGUUUUGGUAUUCUCUUGCCAUUCAAAACGUAUUUAAUUGUCUACCAGUCAACUUUGAUUUCUUCCCAUGCAGCCGCCAAGUUAGAAACUGGGGCAAAUGGGGCCUUAACUCUCUAGUUUGGGAUUUAAUGUUUGAAGAAAAUUUCAUGCUGACAAGUUUAGUUUUGGUAUUCUCUUGCCAUUCAAAACGUAUUUAAUUGUCUACCAGUCAACUUUGAUUUCUUCCCAUGCAGCCGCCAAGUUAGAAACUGGGGCAAAUGGGGCCUUAACUCUCUAGUUUGGGAUUUAAUGUUUGAAGAAAAUUUCGAUUUAUUGCUGCAGCAGCAGCUAUAUAUUGCCAGGCUGCUAGCCAACUUAGAAUUGCAGAGCUGUUUGGCUGAAAAUGAACUUCGUCAAACUGCUAGUGUUGUUUCUGACCAUAGGCUUGGUUCAGUCAACCGGUGCUUUGAAGUUUGCCUUCGAUGGCUUCAACACUUCAAAACUGUUGCUUUAUGGCAACGCAAAACUGGAUUCCGGUGCCAUUUCACUCACCCAAGAUACCACCUUCUCCAUCGGAAGAGCUCUCUAUCAUGCUAAGAUCCCCUUAAAACAUACAAACUCAUCAACCAUUAGAUCAUUUGAAACCUCUUUCACCUUCUCCAUCACCCCAUACAAUGGCCAGCGUCCAGGCCAUGGUCUGGUCUUCAUCUUCGUGCCUUCCGCAGGCAUCCAAGGCGCUGCUGCAUCUCAAUAUCUCGGCUUCCUGAAUAGAACAAAUGAUGGUAAUAGGAACAACAAUGUUUUUGGCAUCGAAUUCGACAUAGUUCAAAAUCAAGAAUUCUAUGAUAUCAACAAUAACCAUGUUGGUCUGAACGUGAAUUCUAUCAUUUCUGUGACUACUUACAAGGCUGGGUAUUGGUUUCAGGACAAUCAGAAUAAAACUAACUGGUGGCAUUUCCAUGCGUUGAAGCUGAACAAUGGCAAGAUUUAUCGGGUAUGGAUUGAUUACAAAGAUUCUUUUCUUGGUGUAAGUAUAGCUCCUGCAAAAAUGAAGAAGCCUUUGUGGCCAUUGUUGAACGUUUUUAUUGAUCUCUCAGACUUUUUUCUUGAUGAAAUGUAUGCCGGUUUCUGCGCCGCCACUGGGCAACUCAUUGGAAACCAUAAAAUCCUGAGUUGGAGCUUCUCUAACUAAUUUUCCUUUGAUCAUUUUCUUGAAAAUGUAUGUGAGAAUAAGAAUCCUUUUUGUUGGAUUAAAGCGAAUAUUAGAAUAAGCAUAAAUGGUUUACCAAGUGCACUUGUUCGUGUAGUAUUUACUUAUUCUUCACAAACUAAUCUAUAAGUGAGGGUCCUUUGUUUCAUUUCUUUUUUUUAACCCUAUUUUUUGCUUUUACAACUAUUCUUAUCCCAAUCUAAAAAUCAGAGAGAUAAGGCAGAUUCAAAAAAAUGUGGACAAGAUUGUAUGUUGAUUAUCUAAGCAACUUAUCAAUGAAACCAUUAUUGUCUCUAGUAAAAGUCAUGAGAAUGGUCCCUAGCUGUCUAUCGCUUAGUCAUAUAUCACAAUGAAAAGCAGUUAUGCAACUUCAUGUGCCCAUUGACUGACCUCAAAUGUUUGCUGAUAAAUUCACCGUCCAUGAUCUAAACAAGACUCACAUAUUUUACACAACACACUGGAUUGCUAAUCCAUUUUCACCAAACUAUCAACAUUAUGGCUUUAUCCGUUUGACUUUCUACUUAUUUUAGGACUCUCACAAUUUACUUUCACACCCACACAUGUUAGAAAUGAGAUGAAAUCUACAGCUAAGAGUUGAUAAAGAUUUAUAGAAUAAGACAUGACAUAAUUAAGAGCUCAAGAGACAAGCAUAAUACUUAGUCCCGGGUAUGUUGAUUUAGGGUUUAGCUAGAUUAUAUUGUUAACAUUAUAUAUUAAACGUUUUCUUACACUCAAUCUAGAUCUACAAGGCUGUAUAUUUGUUUUAAUUAUUCUGGGGGACUUUUGCUUUUUAAUUAGAAAGCUUUUUAAAAGUCUAUUUGUGUAGAACACUUGUUACUGUAUCAAUUAGGAGAAUUGACAAUGAUAGUGGGGGCAAUCAAAAUGAGCAUAAAAAAUUGGGAAAUUUUUAACUUACCCCCAAAUAAAUUGACAUUUUGCACCGCGCACCUAAAAAAAUUGACGUGUUGCACCGCGCCCCCAAUUCCGUUAAUUUUUCAGUUAUUUCUAACCGCUCCGUCUAACUUUUAAUUGAAUGACAAAAAAUGCCCCUCUAUAUGAAAAAAACCAAAAUUUUUAGCUCAUUUAAUUUUUUUAAGACUUUUUUUUUCAAUUGCAAUAAAAAAAUUUCUUGUUACAUGUACAUUGUCACCACUAUUAUUUUUCCUUUAAUUUUUUAAAGGUUUUUAUUUCAAUUGCAAUAAAGAGAAUUCCCAUUAAAAUUAAUUUAAUAAAUGAACUUCCAAUUUUACUCCUCCACCGUUAAACUUAACUGAGAAAAUAACGAAAUUGGGGGCGCGGUGCAACAAGUCAAAUUUGUUGGGGACGCGGUGUAAAAUGUCAAUUUAUUUGGGGGUAGGUUAAAAAUUUCCCUAAAAAAUCUUUUUAAUAUUAGUGAGAGUCAAUUUUCUUGACUUAUGUUUGAUAAAUUUCGUAUUGUAAUAUAUAAGUAGAUUUUAAUAAUAAAAAAAAUAAGACAAUGUUCAAAGUACAGAUGCAUUUCAUUUCCAUUCUACAAUUCUGCAAUGACGUAUUAUCAAAAUCAAAAUUAAUAGGUGGGAAGGGAAACAAAUGGUGCAGUUGCUCAAAUGUGUGGCCCUAAGUUGUUUGAAUCAUGUGACUAGAAAUUGAGACAAACCGUGGAACCCUUUUGAACGUUCCAUCUUUGCUCCAAAUGUUAGAUUUCUUUCAUAAAUGCUUGGGGGGCCUAUUUUACACAUUGCUUGCUUCAUUUAUUUUGAAAAAUUUAAUUUCAUGCCCAAAAGUUUUUAUGUAUUUGUUCUUUCUUUGUUUACUUCUAGAUUCCUCACAACUGCCCAUAUACAAAUAUUAAUAAAUUAAUAAUCAUUGCAAUGGAAAUUUUGAGUAAUUUAGCUGACUCACAGCUUCUGUUCAAUCAAUUGACAAUUAAACACUAUUCACUUUUGAAUUUACAUGAUGAAAGUUCACUUUUUUCAAAUAAAAAAUAUCGCUUUCUUUCCCUAAUGAAUUGACGAGCCAGGUUUGAGAAGAUUUCCUCCAAACCCAAAAAAGGCUGAACUGGGUACUCUUGUUUGUUAAUACCUGUUCAUGAUUCAUCACAAAGAUCAAAUCUUGAAGAUGAUUCCAAGGUGGGUUCCCAUCAUCUGUGCGUCUUGAAAUCAAUCUUUGUAAGAAAAAAAUUAAGUUCUUGUUGCCUUUAUAUUCUCUUCUUUGUUUCCUUUUAAGUUGUUUAUAUUCCUUUUCAACAAAAAAAAAGUUGUUCAUAUUCAGUUCAUCAUCAUAAAUUUAAUUUAAUAAUAUUCUUUCACUGAAUCUUUUGUCAUUAGCUAACUUAAUCAUUUUCUUAAACACACGUUAAUUAUUUUAAUAAUCACCCCAAGAAUUUUUUUUUUUAAUUCGUAGUGGUAGCUAUUUUAAUAUUUUUAUUAGUCCAACUGAUAUCAUAUUUUUUACAUUUUGCAUUUCGUGGCCCACAGCUUUUCCUAAUUUAUGUUUUUUGCCAAUUCCCAGGAAACUACCUACAGGUUGUAAUUGUGCCACGUUGCUCAUUUGGAAUAAAGCGGGAAGAUAACGAAGAGGUGCUAAAGAAGUGGCUUAUGUUUCAAAAAGAAAUGUUAAAUAAUGAGUUGCUGUUUUACAAUCAAGAUACUGUUUUUUUUAUUCAACGGACGGUUGGGUUUCUUUAUGGGUAAUUUUUUCGUUUUUGUUUUAUUGUUGGAUUUUAUUAUGAGGCUGUGAAGCUUUUGGUGUGUAGAGUGUAAACUAAAAAACCUGUUAGUAAUUUUGGCUGUGUGGUUAUGUUUCUAGGUUGCCUUAGCAAGAUCACAUGAUCCUAAGAACACAAUUAAAGAUCCUUUCUUCUUUCUGCUGGUAUUUUUCUCUCUCCUUCUUUAGAACCUAUCUUAGUAUUAUUUUAUUAUGUUGAUGGGAUUUUGAUGGUGGUGAUGCUUUUGAUGUUUGGUUUUGAAAAUUGCAUGCAAGUGUUGGAGGCUAUUUACUUGUUGGGGUUUUUGUUAACUUUUCUGUGAUUGGUGGUGCUUUUACUGUUUUGCAUGUUGUAGCUGCAAACCUCAUGUUGUUUGCUGUUGCUGUUGUCUCCCUUUUUUUUUGAAAUAAUAAUAAUAAUAAUAAGACACUCAAAUCUCAUGUUGUUUGCUCCUGUGUGUAACCAGCAGGAUUCUAUUUUUCUGUUCGUGAAGCCGAUAAUUUUCCCUCGAUGAGAAGUUAUGGUGUUUUCAUUUGUGUUUUUGGAAUGACUUCUUGAGAUAAAGUGGUGAUGGUGGAAGUGAGGGAGUGCGGUCAAAGCCAGAGAUUUCCUCCAUUUUCUGGAUGUGCGUGUUCUGGUCUUCAUGCAGCACUAGGCGGAUAAUAAUGGAAGGUUCUUCUGAUUCUGCUUGGCAAGAUUCCGAUAGUUCUAGGGCAUUGAAUAUUUCUGGUGUCUCUGACAGGAACCCUAGACUUCUUCGCGCUGAAAGAUUCGGGGUUCGUGGUGAUGAUUCAAAUGAUUUUGAGUUGAGAAAGCAUAGUGACGGGGUUGAGCUGACUCAUGGUGAUCACCUUAGAAACCAAGGAGGUUUAUCUGGGGUUUGUGAGAAUGAGGCAGCAGUUGACCCUUUUGUUCAUGCCAUAGAAUGGGGCGAUGUUAGCUUGAGGCAGUGGUUGGAUAAGCCAAAACGUUCUGUAGAUGUCUAUGAAUGCUUGCACAUAUUUAGGCAAAUAGUGGAGAUUGUAUAUGCAGCACAUUCACAAGGAAUUGUUGUUCAUAAUGUUCGGCCAUCUUGCUUUGUCAUGUCCUCAUUUAACCAUGUUUCCUUUAUUGAAUCUGCCUCUUGUUCGGAUUCUGGGUCUGAUUCUCAUGAAGAAGGAUUAAAUACCCAAAACAUGGAGACUAAGGAUUUAUCUUCUCCCUUGCCCCUUGACAUGCUUCAGCGGAGAACUAGGUUGAGAAGGGAAGAUCUCCAACUAGUGACAGCUCCAACAAAUGAUUUAUCAGAAGCUAGUUGUAUGCAAUCAAGCUCAGCUUAUGGAACACAUGCCAUGUUGGUAGAAGGGAUGCAAGAACAUAAAAUUUUAGAUAAUAGAGUGAAUGUCGAACAAGUUGAAGAAAAGAAGCAGCCAUUUCCAAUGAAACAGAUAUUGCUAAUGGAGACAAACUGGUAUGCCAGUCCUGAAGAAUUAGCUGGUGCUCCCGUCUCCUGUGCUUCAGACAUUUAUCGACUGGGCGUUCUACUUUUUGAGGUUUGUAACUUUAUGCAACAAUUCAUUGAUUCAUCAUAACUUGAGUUGGGUUUUCUUUGUUAUAUUCUUGAAGUAUCUUGUUUUCCUUACUAUUCAUGAAGCUGCAUCAUUCCCCCCCCCCCCCCCCCCCACCCCCCCAAAAAAAAACUGUAUGCUUGGUUGUCUUAGUGCACUGAUAGAUCUAUUCUGUUUUCCUAAUAGUUAUUCUGCCCGUUUAGCACUGGAGAAGAGAAGACCAGAACUAUGUCUAGUUUGAGACAUCGAGUUCUUCCUCCUCAAUUGCUGCUGAAGUUUCCCAAGGAAGCUUCUUUUUGCUUAUGGUUGCUGCACCCCGAGCCUAGUGGUCGUCCAAAGAUGGGGUGAUUCCUCCUAACAACACACCUCUAUAAUUUCUAGCUUUUAUCUUCAUUGGAUCCAUUGUCUGGCAUGUCUAUUUUUAUCUUCGUUGCAUUCAUUGCCCAACAUAUCUAUCUUUUUGAAAUUUAGUUCUGCCACCUAUCACCCUCGUUUGGCAUUCAUUACAUUGCUUUAUAGUUUGAACCAUUUCUUAAAGAAUAGUGCUUUACAUCUCUAUAUUUUCCAUUUAAGAAUUUUGUUUUCCAUACCUAUCUAACCACAAAUGAUCACUGUAUCAAAUGAGAAAGUCUUAGGGUGGCAAUGUGAAAAUGGUCCAAAUCACAAAAGUAAAUUUUGUUUUAACUUAGAAUACAAAAAUCAAAUAUGUGAUGAUUUACAUUUAAACAUCUUUCUAUUUUAGUUACAUGACAUCAACAGUUUUUUCGACUGCUGUGCAAAUGACUUGGUAUGCGAGUGAAGGAAUCCUGGAACACACCAACUGAUCAGUCAUAAUUGGUUGAUGUUGAUUUAUUUGUAUUUCCGGUGUGAUUGAUUAAUUCUGUUUCCGCAUUGAAUUCUUUUCUCCUUGAAGUAGUAUUAAAUUACAAGAUCUUUGUCCACAUUAUCUUCACGUGUGAUGAUAUUGCACUUAAGAAUACCCUGUUACUUUCAGUCAUGGCAAACUUACAUUUUUGUGCCGUGCAUACCAGUGAGUUGUUACAGAGCGAGUUUCUUAACGAACCAAGAGAUAGUAUGGAAGAGCGUGAAGCGGCAAUAGAACUCAGGGAGCAAAUAGAUGAGGAGGAGUUGCUGCUGGAGUUCCUGUUGCUGGUACAACAAAGAAAACAGGAAUCUGCUAAAAAGUUGCAGGACAUUGUUUCUUUUAUAUGUUCAGAUAUUGAAGAAGUAUCAAAGCAGCAAGCAAUUCUUAGGAAAAAAGGAGGCUUAGGUUCAUUUGCAGAGUUGGCGAAUGAUGAUCUCUCUGGUUUAAACAUCCCUUCUUUAAAUAUUGUUGAUAACGAUUGUUCUGCUACCAUGGGUUCGAGAAAACGAUUUAGACCGGAACUUCAGCUCCAUGACUUAGAGGAAUGUGAUGAUAAUCUUGAUGACAGUCAGAAACACAACCUCACUGGAAAUGAAGAAAGCAGUCUUUUUAAAAGCUCUCGAUUGAUGAAGAACUUCAAAAAGUUGGAGUCAGCAUAUUUUUUGACAAGAUGUAGACCAGUCAAGCCAUCAGGGAGACCACUGGUUAGACAUUCUCAAUUAAGUAGUGAUGGUAGAACAUCUAAACCACUUGUAAAUGAAAGAAGUUCCAUAAACAAUUUAGGAUCAAAAGAGGGGUAUAGUGAAGGUCGAAGAAGUGGAUGGAUAAAUCCAUUUCUUGAGGGUUUGUGCAAGUAUCUGUCUUUCAGUAAGUUGAGGGUCAAGGCAGACCUGAACCAAGGAGAUUUAUUAAACUCUUCCAACCUAGUAUGCUCUCUCAGCUUUGAUCGUGAUGGAGAAUUAUUUGCUGCUGCUGGUGUAAAUAAGAAGAUUAAAGUAUUUGAAUGUGAUGCAAUCAUAAAUGAAAAUCGUGAUAUCCACUAUCCGGUGGUGGAAAUGGCUAGUAGGUCAAAACUAAGCAGUAUAUGUUGGAACAGUUAUAUCAAAAGCCAGAUUGCUUCAAGUAACUUUGAAGGUGUGGUGCAGGUAGGUCAAGUCUUACAUUUCAUUUACUUUUCAGCUUUAUACUGCAUUAUUUUAAACAAGUUACUCAUUAUUUUCAGGUAUGGGAUGUUUCAAGAAGUCAAGUACUUACAGAAAUGAGAGAGCACGAGAGGCGUGUUUGGUCCAUUGACUUUUCAUCAGCAGAUCCAACAUUGCUGGCUAGUGGGAGCGAUGAUGGUUCCGUUAAGCUAUGGAGUAUCAAUCAGGCAAUUCUACUUUUGCACUUGGUGGAUGUCAGCUUUGAAACUAAACGUACUACAGUCAUCUAAUUUCUUACCACAUAUAUUUAAUUCUGGAUGUGUAAUAAGGUUUUCCUCUUACAUGGGUUGCUACUGCAGGGCGUAAGUAUCGGUACCAUCAAAACAAAGGCCAAUGUUUGCUGUGUUCAGUUUCCCUUGGAUUCUGGUCGUUCCCUUGCAUUUGGUUCAGCAGAUCAUAGAAUUUAUUACUAUGAUCUCCGUAAUUCAAAAAUUCCCCUGUGCACAUUGAUUGGACACAACAAAACUGUGAGUUAUGUCAAGUUUGUAGACGCAACUACUCUUGUUUCUGCAUCCACAGAUAACACACUGAAGCUUUGGGAUUUGUCAAUGUGCACGUCUCGGGUUAUUGAUACUCCACUUCAUUCAUUCACAGGUCACACAAAUGUAAAGGUACAUUUACUUUUUGCUGAUUGUUUUAAUGCGUAAAAUUGAACUUUAUUAAUGAAGUUUAUUUAGUGUAAAUAUUUAUUUGUCUUUACAUUGUAUUGAUGUAUUUCUUUUAAACUGGGAGUAUUACUAAGUUGUUAAUUUAUUUUUUAUUUUUUCUUUAAGGAGAAAAUAAGAAUUUGUUGAACAUAAAAGAACAUAAACCAGUCAAAUGAUGGUAAAAACAUAUGUGCUUGGUUGGAAAUGCCUGAAUGCCUUCAAGAUGGACAUGGAUUUGGAGAGAAUGGUUAUCAUGCAAUCAUUGAAGGGUUUAAUCUCAUUCUUUAAUGCUUAAAGAUAAAUUUUUGAUACCUGUCACUGGGCAUUUAGUUAUUGAAAAUAGCUUCAAAAUAGGCUUAUAGAAGGAAGAAUGAUUUUCAUAUGUUAUAAUUCGAUCUUUUCCUUGUACUUUGGAAUUUUUGCCCUGCGGCAGGGUUCACUCCCCUUUGUAAAUGACUUCCUUCUACUUCCUCAUAAUUACAUAAUGAACCAUCUUUAUGAUAAAUUUGUUGUGUCGGAUUAGGUGAUUAAUCCAUGUGACAUUUAUCCUAACCCAACGUUCAUGUAUUAACUGCUAGUGGAAAAGGAAACUAUAGUUGAGUACUUUUUGAUGAUAUGCAUGUUCUUUCUGUUGCAGAACUUUGUCGGUUUGUCAGUAUGGGAUGGUUACGUAGCUACAGGCUCAGAAACUAAUGAGGUAUGUCUGUAUCAUCUCAGUUGUCCACUUAACAUACAUCCUCUGGAGCGGUAGUUGCGGCUGAUUUGAGAUAACAAUUUGUUAGGCUCAGAAACUUGUUUUGCAAAAUCUGUGGGAUAAGUAGUAGAAUUCACAAAUUGAUGUGGAGUUGAACUAAUCAAAACAUCAGUUCCCUAUAUGCUUCCCACUUUUUGUGUCAGCUGAUUUCAUUCAAAUAUUGAUGUUAAAUAUUCUCCUUGGAACAGGUUUUUGUGUAUCACAAAGCCUUCCCCAUGCCAGCUUUAUCAUUCAACUUUAACCAUGCGGACCCGUUGUCUGGCCCCGAAACGGAUGAUGCUGCGCAGUUUAUCUCAUCUGUCUGUUGGCGUGGCCAGUCCUCCAACACUUUAGUUGCUGCAAAUUCCUCUGGGAAUAUAAAAAUUUUGGAGAUGGUUUAAUUUUACCUGUGUUAUCCAAAUUAUUCUUGAUUUUAGCAAGGAUAAUAGAAGAUAUUGGUAUUGGGUCAUGAAAACGGAAUGAGGACAGAGUCUGAAACCGAAGAAGAUUUGUUUGGCUAAUGAUAUAGGUUUACGGGUAUAGGGAUCGCAACAAAACAAUUUUUUUGUACUAGUUAAAUAGCGGAUGCAAACAAUGAAAAGAGAAAAUGAUCUUGAUCAAGAUGUAUGUAGAUAUUACUUACUGCGAAUGAGGGGGGCGGAAAAAAAAUAAUAAAAGAAGUUAAAUCACUUAUACUGUAUAUCGUGUAACAUGCAUUUCAUGCUAAGCUUGAAGUGAAAACACUUGCCGUUAUGGAAAUAUCUAUCAUUAGUGUCUUUGAUGAAAAUUCCAUCAGUCUAGUUUGAGAAGAUUCAACGAGUCUAUUUCAAGUUAGGUUAGGUUUCCAUGAUAAAAACUUAUAUGAUGGCAAGUCUGGGUGCGAGCUUUUGAUGUUAUAUUUUGUAGUUAAUGGAAACAUGGACGAGGAAUCUGCAGCUGCAAGCCUGCAAGUAAAGUUUUUGAUUUCUGGGUCAGUUUUUAGUAAUGGCUAGGGUCAAUGAUUACUGGAUUGGAUAAAUAAGCUAGUGGAUAAUAUAGAUGAGCCAAAGUGAAUUAGAAAUCUCCAUCAGGCAGCAACUUAUGUAGCUCUUUGCUAGGCAAUAAGCAGACUGCGACUAUUAUCCAUUUGAUGCAUUGAUAGGUCGGAUUGAAUAAAAUGUGAAAUUGUUACACGCAGUAGUUUAUGAAGAAUAAUAGUAUCUUUUAUAAGUAAUAUUUUUUGACACUUAAUAGUGGUAUGAAUAAUAGGGAUAUAAUGAUUUUAUUAUCAAAGUUAUUCUGGCAUAUCAUGUCAGUAUCAUAAUUUACCGAAAAAUAUAUUUUACUAUCAAAUGUUUGCGUUGUUAUCAAUUCACUACCAUUCCAUUAAUAACAAUAAAAAUUUGCAGUUAUCUUGCUGAUGUCAUAAGGGCAUCAAAGACAUUUUCAGUUAUAAGGGCAUCAAAGACAUUUUCAAUUAUAAGGGCAUCAAAGACAUUUCGGGUUGAAACCUAAAUGCUGCGUUUUAGGGAAAUAAUUAAAGAUUAAAGAACUAGGAAAUUAAAUCCUAAAAUCGAUCCCUCUCUCUCAUUGUGAAACCUCCAUCUCUGAUCCGUCCCUCUCCCUCGCUAUUGACUCACCGCUAUCUCCACUACCGUUUGCUCUCUCUACUGUGAGUUGUUGACUUCUUUUUUAUUAGCUUAUUGUUCAUUAAUUUUUUUCCUUAAUUAAAUUGUUAUUGUUUUUAGUUGUGAUUAAUACUUGAAUUACAAAGGAUAAAAUUGUCUUUGAUACUCUUGGGGUAAAAUCGACUUUUAACUCAAUUUAUGUUGAACAUUAAUGUUUUGUUAAUGGAAUAAUAGUGAAUUGAUAACGAUGCAAAAAUUUGGAAAGAAAAUAUACUUUUUAAUAAAUAAAAUAUUGACAUAAAAUAUGUCAUAAUAAUUUUGUUAGUAAAAUGAUAAUAUUCAUACAAAAUAUAACUAUAGCGAUCAAUAGCGGUGAGGAAAAAAUAACAAUUUGUACUAUAGUCUUGUCAGUAGCACAAUACUAAUGGGAAAAAAAAAACAAAAAUGAUUAAACAAAAAGGAAGAUGACCAAUUGACUAUCGGAAAAUGAUGUUUGCCCCGGGUCAAACCCCGAACUAAACGCACCGUUUUAUUAAGUUUAAAACGCACCGUUUGCCUUCUGCCAAAAACGCACCGUUAAAUUGGUUCUCAAAUCUCAAGAACAAGUUGAGGAGCAAUUAUUGCUCUUGCUCUUCUUGUUGGUCCUGCAGUUGUGGGGAACAGAGAGUUGGGGUGAAGGCUUUAGUAGUGACUGUUGUGGGUGUGAGAGCUAGAGAGGAGAAAUUGUGAGAGAAGAAGAGCCGACGGGUGGGGAUAGAAGUGAGGUGGGGUUUACGGAGUUGGCAUUUUGAGAGGAUUGUGGAGGUUGUGGAUAUGCAGAGGGGUCUCAACAAGAAACCCAUUGUUGUCGCCAUCGUCACUGCAGCGGUGCUGUGCUGGCUAAGAUUUUUGACAAAUAAAAUCUUAAUGACAAAUAUAUUAGUUUGAAAGUCUCUGCAUGACGGUGCAUAACUGCAAUGCUUCGACCUUCUUCAUCUAAUUCAUAACCCAAAUCAGGAUAAGAGCGAAUGAGCACAGCCAAGAAUUUGAAAUUCCUCGAGUGAGCUGCAUCGAAUAAUAAAUUUGAAGGUUUGCUGAUAAGUUUCAAGACAUCCUCGUGUGUGCUUUCUGAUAUUUCUUCCCAAAGACAUUUGACUAAUUCAAGUGCUUGAGAUAAAGAGUCUGUACUGUUGAUGAUGAACUUCAUUCCUGGAACUAAAAGACACAAAAUUAUUGUUUUUUUAAUUUUUAUUGUUUUUGUUUAUUGAAUUAAAGCAUCAAGUUUCUGUCUUGCCUCAUUCAUGUUUUCUUUGCUUCUAUCUUAUUGGAUGAAGUUAAAGCCAAAAAUUAGUCCUCAAAACGGCAUCGUUGCGUUGAAGAAAGGAGCUCCAUCUGUCUUAACAAAAAUUGAUCCUUAAAACGGUGUCGUUUUUUCAAGUUCGGGGUUUGACCCGGGGCAAACAUCAGCACAGCACUCAUUGACUAUCUCUUGGCAAGUUUUGAUUUGUUGGUUAUAUAUUCUACAAUUAGGUGACAUCAUACAACCCUCCCUACUUGUCAUCUGCAGUGAAGCUGCCUCUUAUCCUUUUCAACAUUUUUUAUUCCUUGCGAAAUGUUGAAAAUUGGGAGGAUGUUCAAACAAUGGACAAUUUUCAAACAACAACCAAGUAUUUAAUUGUGAAUUCAGCAAUAGUGGAAGAGACUUUUCAAGUUAUGGUCAUAUGACCAUUGAUGUUUAGUCUAAUAUUAUUAUUUGAGUGUUCGAUCAUGCCAAUACUCAAUUGUAGACAACUCUUAUCUCUCAGCCAAAAAUGAGCGAAUCCAGAGUUAAGAGGAAGAAUAAAAAUUAAUAUUAAAAAGAAGAAAAGAAGAAGAGGAUGCAAAAAGAGAGUUUAUGGCCAAGCCAACAAUGGAAAGAAAACAUUUUCAAACCAAAAUCAUCUUUCUUUCUAUUAAACAAACAAAUAGUAUCAGUCCUUUCACACCUACCAAACCUUUUUUACUUUGGAAGAUAGAUAAAUAAUUAUUGUGCAUUGAUGAUAUAUAACGUCCAUGUAUAUAUAAAUUGCUAUGAGCCUAUGAGGCAUAAGACAGAACAGAUUCUUUUUGUGCAUUUUUGCAAGCUAAACAUCCAACCAACCGCUACCUGAAAUUUACAAAUUGAAAAUUCAUGAGCUAAUAGAAAUGUAAUGCACCUCAAAUUAUUAUAAAGCUGAAAAAUGGAAUAUUCAGCAACAAGGAUCGGUGGGAAAAAUAUAAAAUACUGCAGAAUGCUUCUGAGCUACAUUAAGUGUGAAGGUCUCUGUGAAAUGCCUACAGAAAGAAGGAUGAUCAAGCACCUUCUUAGAUCCCAACCAUGAAUGUCGCAAUAUGCUUUGCUUCUAAUGAUUCUAACAUGCUUCAAGUCUAACAAAACUGAGGCCGUAAAUCCAGCUCUACCAUCAAAGAAUCUCCCCUCGAUGCACUUUUCUAAGAUUGGGGCCAACUUCUGGGUAGAACGUUUGUUUUUUGUUUCUUUAACUAUCUUUUGUUUUGAAAUCAAUUCCCCCACAGCAAGAAAAUAUAACGCAAACUAUGUACACUGGUUCAGUCCACGUUUAGCUUCCAUAGUCAGCCUAGCUACUAAGCGGCGAAGCCUUUCAGCUCCAGGACCCGGCUUGAUCUUGUUCGGAUCCCCAACCUUGGAACAAUGUGGAUCACCUGAGCACCAAGCACCAGGGGUGAAACUCCCAUUUUUCCGACCAAGUAACUCCUUAUCAAUCUUGUCCAAAACAAGGGCAUUUUGUCUGAAUUUACGAGCAAAAGCAGCACUGCUUGAAAUCAUCUCACUUGUAUCAUUAAGUGAAAGAAUGUGUGGGUGCUGUCCGGGGGGAUUGUCCCAAGAGAUGUAGUGCAGGUCAUGAUUGACAACACUUGGAACAAACUCCGGCACAUUACAUAUGACAGUCUGAAAGUACGAUUCAGGCGAGGAGACAAAGUUUGUAUAGUACAUAAGCAGCGUUCUCGGUAGAUUAUCCCAACCCCAAAUGCAGUACUCAACGAAUGAACGAGAGAGCACCAUCCAUGCUGAGCCUGCAAAAGAACUUGAUGUUAUUGAAUGAUACAACAUGAAAUUCACAACAUACCCUCCCAUUUGGCAAUGCACAUACAGGGAAUUUCUUUCUCGUAAUAGUGGUUGUAUAAUGACAAAACAAGUUCAGAACAGCAGAUGGUAAGUACUGCUCUAAAGUUUAAGCUUUUAAUUCAAUGCUGGAAAGAGACUAAAUCUUUUGACUUUUGUACCUUAGAUCUCACAUAUUUAAGUUACGCGUGAUUCAAAUCUAGCCAAAUCAAAACUUAGGAACUUGCUUAUUUGGCAGCACAACAGCUGCAAUAGAACUCCCUUUAUAAGUACCACACAUCCACUCAAACAUACAUUUUGGAUUUGGGUAAAAGGACCAAAAAUUAAACACCCGGGUUCAUAAUACCUAUACACAUAUGUUAGUGAAAUACUAAGAGCAAAGCUAACUGCUUAAAUCAUUUGAAACAAAAUUAUCAAACUUUCAAAUUAGUGUGCAGAGCAAGUUACAUUUAACUAAGCAAAUUCUAUUUCUAAAUAAGGACCUGCAAAUUCUGGAAGCCAGUAAAGGUUAUUUAACUGAGCAAAUGGAAACAGCUUCCACAAAGACAACUCGAAACAUUUACCAAUUCCCAGAUUAGUCAGACCCCAACAUAUUUGAUGGAAGGAUACGGGCUUCUUUACAUUUUCCAUCUUUUUUCAUUAAAGAAUACAAAAUUUCAUCAUUUCUUCUGUUUUCCAUCAUUGCAAAUUUAAUAAUUUCUACAAAACGUAAACAUGUUCGCAAUCCUAACUUCUGACAGCGUGAAUGACCAAAAAAAUUAGGUAAUGGAGAAAAACUAACCAGUAAAUAAUUUAAAUGCCGUUGGCAAAGUUCUCCGCGGUGUGACCCAGAAUAUAUCUGACUUAGUCAACAUAUAGAGUCCAGGAUCAACCAUCAAAGGCAUUGCUCGUUUUUCCCUGCAGACCAAAUAAUCAGAUUAGCAUCACUUAAAAUAUAGAAAUCCUGAAAGGAUAUGUUCAAAGAGAAAGGAAAGAACCUACUCCUUCCAACCAAGAUGGCUUGUAUGCUCAAUGAAAUUAAGUUUCCGGCUUAGGCCCGAAAAUGUGUAAAGAAGAUCUGCAAAUUAAAACGGCAAUUAAUUAACUAAAUAUAAUAAAAAAGGAAAUAAAAUGAUAAAGAAAUAUACAAGUAGAAAAAAGCAGUCUUACCAUCUUGAGUCACAAGAGGAUAAUCUGAAGCACUAAGGUUAAUAAACCAAUCCCAAUCCUUGCUAUUCUUAAGAAGAAUAGCACAAGCAUGAAGCGUAUUAGCAACCAUGGUGGGUCCUCUAUAAGUAACCAUAUUAGCCUUGGUGCUCAUGUAAACAUUUCCAACCUUGGAGAACAUGGGAUCUUUCUCCACCCGUGACGCAAGCUCCAAUCUUUCCUCUGUGGGCGCUUCAAGGUCCAAAUGAAGAACAUAUCGGUUCCUCGGAUGAUACAGCGCUUGAAGAGUCCUCCAAAGUUUCUCCAAAUCACCUUUUGACCCAGAAACCAAAUAAGCAAAUCGAGGAAUUUUGGGACCAGAAGGAGCGGGUUCGGAUUGUUUAACCUUCAUUUCGGCAUAAUUUGGGGCUGUAUGAUUUGAUGAAGGGAAAAUCGAGAAGAUUGCAUUGAUAGUGUGUAAUGAAGAGAUAAGACCCAUGUUGAAGGAUGUCGCAAGAAGGAACACGCAUAUUAGAGAGCUAAUAACUAAAGGAAACACCCACUUCUUCUCCAUAUUCAAGGAUCCAAAAACAAAACUUUUAUCACUGGUUCCGGCUAACGAAACUCAUAUCCCGACUUUGCUCAAUCCCAAAACUCAAACACAAACCUUAUAUGCAGGUAUCGAAAAACAAAAAUACAGUUUAUAGGCAGAUCAAUACCUCCUCCCUCAGAAUUCCAAAUUACACUUCAAAAUAUAUCUGUCAGAUCAGCAUUCAACAAGAAAAUCAGUAUACAAAACCAGGGCCAAUCAUGUUAAUUGCCAAAACACAAAGAAACUGAAGCUUGGCAAAACAUCUGACUUUGUUGAUCUGAGCAAGAAGCAUCAAAACCGGCGAUAAUGAAUUAAAUACACAUUAAAGUAUAAUGUUAUAUGCAUAUUUAAAUACAUUUAAAGAUGUGUGGACUUGUAAGGAAAGGAAGAGGGUUAUUAAAUAUUUUAAACAUACCAUACAAGAAAACGAAAAAUGAUGCAUUUGGAAAAUCAAACAAGGGAUCAAGGAAAGAAUAUAAAAUUAUUAUUUUUCAUUAUUUUAUUACCAAAUUAGCCAGCAAGUCACAUGUGUCGGCCUUUAAAAUUCCAUUUGUUUAGACAAUCCCAAAUCUUGGAAUGAAUCCGAUUACUCAUUCUUAAUCAUAUAGAUCACAAACCCUUAAAUGAGCAUAAACCAGCUACCAGUAGGCAACCAAAAACAAACAAACCCAGAUCCCAGAAUCAAGCUCAGAUCAUAAACCAAAUAAACCCAUUUGAUAAUCUCUCAAACCAACCAAAGAUCAAAACUUUACAUGAAAAAGAAUCAGACCUUUUCUUCAUAAGUAGCAAUCUUUGUGCCCGUUCAAGAGGGAAAAAGAUUAUGAAUUGACACUUUAAAGAAAUAAGAUUUGCGUGUGUCAGUAUGCGCGUUAUAAAUAAAAUAAAUCCUGUUAAACUGGAGGUAUUAUUAGCUUUGUGGAAUAAACUAAAAGAUAUAGCAAAAAUUUGAUUAAGAAAAAAAAAAAAAAAAAGAGACAAAACACGGGGUGGGUAAAUGCCUAAAUGGGUUUAAUUUGUGACGAGCCUCCAGUUUAGGAAUGAUCAGACACGGCAACUUCGUCUAAAAUUUUGUCUAACUAUUAUUUAGAUUUUGCAACAGAAGAAUAGAUUCCUUAUUUUCUAUAUUUGUAACUGUUGGGUCUCCUUAAUUUUAAUUUUAAUUUUAAUUUUAAUUUUUUUACCUAUUUAGCCUAUUUUUGUUUCAUCGUAUUAUUAUGGUAUGUGAUUAGCGUGAUGCCGGUUUAUAGUCGUUGGUUUGGGAGGGUUUUUGACUUUUGGGUGGUCCAACGGUUGUGAUUUAGUUGAUUUGUAAGGUAGUGGUGGGUGAUUAUUAUUAUUUUUUUUAAUUUUCUUUGGGUGUCGUUUGUGUGGUUGAGGGUCCAGGAUUCUUACAUGAUCCCAGGGUUAUCUUACCUUUCAUUUCAAGGCUGAUAAUGAUAUCCAGGGCAAAUGCAAUGCAACACAAGGGUGACACAAGCCGGCACUCUCGUCUGAAUAUUAAUAUUACUCCUUGAAUAAUAUUAUAUUAGAUAUUACAUUGUGAUUUCUUUUUAUUAACCUUAUGUGUCGAUCCUACUUAAAUCUCUAUUGUUAUUGUAAGAGUCUUAAGUAAAACAAAUAAAUGUGUCACAUAUAGCUAAGAUAAUUUGGAUGUAUACGAGCAAUAAUAAAAUGAGUGUUACAAGAUCCUCCAAGAGUCGAUGAUAACAAAGUAUCUAGAUAAUUGUGAUAAUUAAAGUAUAGGUAAAUUUUAAAUUAUGCUGCUUAUGAAUUGACUAUUUUUAAAUGGUAAAUGUCCGUUUAACAUUUAUAUUUUGAGUUAAGUGUUCAUUUAUUUCUUAUAUUUUGAAAAAAGCCUUACGACACUCUGUUAAAUGGAAGCUACGGUGCCGCGGGUGCACGGUACACUCAUGUCCCUUUUUUUCUUUUUAAUUUACUUUUAUAAUUAUACCCUUGCAACAAUAUUUUUCAGGAUAUUAAUUAAUUUUCUAUAAAAAAAAGUUAAUAAAAAAUUAACCCCAAAAGUAAAAUAAAAAUAAAUGUAAAAUUCUUUGUUAUUAUUUUACUUUUAGAAUUAAUUUGGUAAAUUAAUUUUUUAUAAAUUAUUAUUAACAAGAUUAUUACAAAUUUAUCAAGCAUUGCUUUAAAAUUGUAGUAAGGGUAUUAUUAUAAAAUAAAGAAAAUAUAUCAUAUUCAACAGUAAUAGUAUUUUUGAGGUAUUUUUUAAAAUUUAAGAAUCAAAAGUGUACUUAAUAUAAAAUAUAAAGAAUAAAUGAGUAUUUACCCAUUUUCAAGUUACUAUUUUUAUUUUUGAAAACCAUAAGUUUCUCCCAUUUUUGUUCAAAAAGUAAAAAGAAAACACGGUGGGUCGAUGAUUUUUUUUUUUUUUUGUCUUUCUUAACAAAAAUAAAAGGAUAAAUUGAGAUUUUUAAAAGUAAGGAUAAUUUGAAAAUAAUUAAUUCAUAAGAAAGAUAAUCCAAAAAUAAUUUUUCUCUAAUGUGAAUACCCUAUUUUUUUUACUGCCACAAAUAAAAUUAAUUUUAAGUAACCUAGGGAGAUCUUUGUCUUGAAAUGUUGAAAGGAUGUGACAAGUAAAAUUAAUGUUAGUAUUUAUAUUUUUUUCAAAAAAAAAAUAUUAGUAUUUAUAUUAUUACUAUUAUUAUUUUGACAGCAAUAUUUAUGUUAUUAUUAGUUGCAGACAGAGAGUUGCUUUGGUGGACCAUCCAAGAGAAAUAAAUAAUAUAUAUGUCUCUGUCAAAUUAUAUAUAUCCAGCAUUGUUAUUAAUUUUAGCAUGAAUCUAGUCUUCAAUAAAAUGCUUUAUUAAAUAAAUAUUGGGAGGUGGUGGGUGAUUAAAUUAUGGUUGCGAAUUGGGAGGUGUGGUGGGUGAUUGUCGUUUUGGACAUUAUUUGUGUGAUUGAAGGACUGUAAACCUACCAAGUUUAUCCAAAUUUCAUCUAAUUUUGAUCAAAUUUGUUUGUCUACAAUUGAUAAAAUAUAUAAUCAUAUUUGGUAGAUUUAUCAGCCUCUAAUAUUGGACAAUCCAUGAAAAAUGAGAGACUCAAAUGAGGUUUUUAACUUUAUGGGUUAUAUUGUCCUUUUCAAUUAGCCUGAUGCCAUUGUCAAUUUGAAGAUAAUUUCUUACCAAUUUAAAAGUUAGAUAGAUAGGAUCAUAGGAAUGCCGAGAAGAUUUAUGCAAAGUUAAUAAAUUAAAAAUAAUAAUUUGUUAGUGUAACAUAUUUUUUUUUAAUAGUGAAUUAGUAUAUAAUUACUUAGAAAAGUCUUGAAAAGAUAAAAACGUUUUCAAUUUCAUAAAAAUGAUUUAUUAAUUAUUUAACGUGAAUAGUCUCUUGAAUGUGUCUUGUUGAAAUUCAGUAAACAAUUCCGUGAAUUGUGUGAAUAAUCAGCCUUUUUUUUUCCCUCACAUUUUAUUAGUAUAAUCAGGAAUCUUGUUCCAUAUAAUAAUUAAUUAGGUAGUUUUUAACAUGAAAAAUAAAAUAAUCAUCAAAUCAUCUAAAAAUUUUCUUUCACAUCUAAAAAUUUUCUUUCACAUAUUUAUAUAUUUAAAAUAAAGAUCAACAAUUUAGUGCAUGCAGUCGUGCAUCAUCACCACUAGAGGUGGCUAAUGGGCCGGACGGCACGAGGCACGGCACGGGCACGGCACGUGUUCGUACAGCACGGUACGACACGAGCACAUUUCGGUAAAGAACGCGGCACGACACGGCAUGCACGUGGGCCGUGCCAGACUUAGAUUUUAGGCACGUGGGCCUUAAAAGCACGGCAUGAUUAGAGAUGAAACAAAGCACGGUACGCGAAAAAGCACGCAAUAAGCAUGUUUCAUUUUUUAAUGAAAGUAAACUUAAAAUUUUAUGAUUUUAUAAAUAACUUGAAAUUGAAUCUUUUAAUAUAUUUUAUUGGCUCAAGUUUUUUAAAUUUAUUUAAUUCUUAGUUUCAAAAAAUUUAUAAUUGAUUUAUGUUUAUAAUUUAUUAAAUAAGUAAUUGAUAUCAUGAUUUUAAUAAAUAAAAUUAUAAAUAUCAUGAUUUUAUAAAUAUGUAUUAAUAUUAUUAUAAACUAUGAUAUAUGACUUUACGUAAUUCCAAGUUAACAAUUAAGUUAACCCUUAAAAAAAUAUUAUUAUUGUUGUUGUUAAGUACUAAAAAAGAAUUCUAAUGCCAUAGAGUCAAACUUAGCAACUAAUAUUACAUUAUCUUUUUAUUAUUAUUGAAUAUGGACUUGAAUUUUAAAUUUUUUAUUCUAUUAAAUUUAAAUAAAGGCAUAUGGAUCCAAAAAAACAGUACAUAAGAUGGAAAAAAAUAAGACAACUUGACAUGCGCUCUUAAAAAAAAUAAAAAAGGAAAAAAGCUUAGUGGGCUAUUUUUCCUAAGCACGAAACGGCACGAGUGGGCAUGAACGCGAUCACGUGUGGGCACGGCACGACACGAGCACGAGCACGAGCACGCUUGGGCUUCCAUUGAUGGGCCUGAGCCGGCACGGCACGGCCCGUUGGCCAUCCCUAAUCACCACUCUUUAAAUUAAAUCAUUAUUCACAAGAGUUUUUUUUUUUUCCCCUUCAUUUACCAAAAUGUCAACCUUCAUCAUUUUGACAGGCGGCAUUUUUAAAUCUAUGCAGACAUAACUUUUAAUCCGAGUGUCAUAGAUGUAAUAAUUCUCUCAUAGAACAUUUUGUAUUGAGCCGAGGUCUGAAUAAUGACGUUAUCAAUUACCCAAUCAUUACGCUACCAUCAGGUGUAUUUAAGCCGUUGAUCUGAUCACUGGUUAUUGUGGCGCAAACAGAGGAAUUGAAGUCACAUUCGUAUUAUUAUUAUGAAUGGGGUAAUAUUCUGUAGUUUGUUCCUGUAUAUUCCCUCGGUUUUUACAAAUUGAUCAUGCGGAUGCAUAUAAUUCAAAAGACAAAUCUACUGGUUCAAAACAUUACUGAAUGAAAUUUUUUUUAAAAAAAAAAAUUAAAGUAUAAAUUCAAAACAUAAUUAACUUAUUUUUAAAUUUGGGAGAUUUGAUUCUAGUCUAAUAGAAUAAAAAACUAUCAACACAUUCUAUGAUACUUAAAUAUGGUUAAUCUAUUGAUUCAUAAUUUUGAGAUAAAUUGUUGUAAGAAGAUCAUGAAUUGCUUUUUUUUCCUAUCCCCGCCACUUGUUGUUGUUAGUACUUUCUAAAAAAAAAUUAAAUCGGUAAGAUUAUGCUUAUGUAUUUUAAAUACUCAAUUAAAAUAUUCAAUGAUGCGGUAUUUUUUUGUGUCAUCAAUUAAAUAAGUUGUAAAAAUAAUAAAAUAAUAAUUGAUAAUAACAUCAAUUAAUAUUAUACAUAUAUAUAAGAGUAAAUGAUUAGUGACAUAUUAGAUAAACACUAUAUGAAACUUGAACUUUAUGAAAAUAACAAUCUAUUAACUUGCUAUCGUUAAAAAUGCUAUUAUUCUUAGUCAAGGUUUGUUUUUCAUCAUAAUAACGAUACUAAUUAAACAAAAAUUCUAAGGACUUUUUUUUUAAAAAAAAUAUAUAUAUAUAACCAAGGAAAAGGGCAAAAGAAUAUGCAAUGAAGAUAAAAGAAUUCAAAGUAGCGUGACGUGUCGGCUUCAUAUUCAAUUUUGUGGGUCCCCUGAAAAUAAAUGUGUCUCUUGCGUUGUAAGAUGAAGAUGAACUGCCGAACCACCGUCGAUUUUAAUGCGAACCGUUUCACAUUUGAAAUUUGAUAUUCUAAACCCCGUCGUUGACUGUUUAUUCAUUUAUUUUUUAUUUUUGUUGCAUUUGCCUAUAAUAAACAAGCCAAAAAAAAAAAAAAAAAGGAUGAAGUUCAUGGACCUUGACCCUAUUCCGAUUUUAAAUUAUGGUCCCAAAAAGUAUAUAUAAAAAAAAGGAAAAAGAAUCCCAAAUUUAUUUUGUCAACGUGAGUGAGUGUGCUUAAUUUUCUUACACUUCUAGAUGCAUUUUUAUACCUCACAUCUCAUCUACAUUUAUGCAAAAUCAUAAAUAAAUAAUAAUCCUGCACACAUAUUUGUAGUGCCAUCUAAUUGAAAUGAUAAAAUUUAUUGUAUUAAAAUAAGAGGUGUAGAGUUUGAAUUUCGUUCAUAUAGACAGAAAGAGUAUCGAAUUUUCAUUAAAUAAAAAAAAUAAAAAAAUCCACACAUAUUCACCAACUAGCGAGUGAUAGAGAUAACAAUGAAUUGUACUUACUAGACAUAUUUUGAACUUUUUCUUUCAUUUUGUCCGUUAUCGCGAUUGGCUAUUUUAUUUUUUUAAUUUUUUCCCUAAAAAUGUAUUAGUACGUGGUGUUACCUUAGAUUAUUUGGUUGAUAUAUUGUUUACGGGUCAUUCUAUAAUGCCGUAACUAAAUUUACAACAUUGAUGCCGUAAUGGACAUGGACCGUUAGAUUUGAAUAAAAAAUCUCUACCAUUAAUUCUAAAUAAAUAGGUAACAUGUUACCUAAGUAGCAAGUAAUUACUCUUUUUUGUUCAAAUUUUAAGUUACAUUUACCAAUUUUAUGUGUGAUUUACAAGUUUUAUACAACAUUUACAAGUUAAUGUUGAUUUAUAAGUUUUAUGCAGCAGUUACAAGUUUUUGUUGUGUUUACAAGUUCUUCUUGUAUUUUACAACUCCAACAUUAAUUUACCAAAAUUUCCAUCAAUUUACUAGUUUUAUGUGUGGUUUACAAAUCUUUUGUGUCAUUUCACAAUUAAUGUCAAUUUACAAGUUUUAUAUCAUUUUUCUAAGUUUUUGUUUUGUUUACAAUUUUUUCUUCUAAUUUACAAUUUCAUCAUUAAUUUACUUCUUUUUUCAUUAAUUUACUAGUUUUAUAUGUGGUUUACACAUUGUUUGUUUCAUUUCACACACUUAAUGUCAAUUUACAAAUUUUAUGUCAUUUUUCUAAGUUUUUGUUUUGUUUACACUUUUUUCUUCUAAUUUACAACUCCAUCAUUAAUUUACCAAUUUUCCCAUCAAUUUACUAGUAUUAUGUGUGAUUUACAUAUUUUUUGUUUCAUUUUACUCUUAAUGUCAAUUUACAAGUUCUAUGUCAUUUUUCUAAGUUUUUGUUUUGUUUACAAAUUCAUAUUGCAAAUUACAACUCCAACAUUAAUUUACCCAUUUUCCCAUCAAUUUACUAGUUUUAUGUCAUUUCUUAUUUUUUAAAGUAAUUUCAUACGUGUUUAAUUACAUUGAUCUGAACUAAUCAAACGUAAGGAGGAGUUUACGGAAGAAGAAGGAAAGAAAAGGAAGAAGAAAUGGUCAAAGAAGAUGAUGAAAAGAAGAAAUGACGAAGAAGGUGCAGUAUAAAAGAAAUGAAAGAAAGAUUUUUAUAUUGUUUAUUUUUUAUGUCUUGAAGUUUGUUUAGGGAAUUGUUUUGUAGGAUGAAGAAAACGUGUACAAGAAAACGUGUAAAUCUUUUUUUUCUUUAAAUUUAUACAUGUAAAAUUUUUAUUUUUAAAAAUAGUAUUUAACCGGCUUGUAACCGAUUAAAUAUAAUUUAAUUAAUUUUUUAUUAUAUUAUAAUAAUUAUGAAUCGUUGAUCUAAUCUAAUGACCCAUAAUAAUUACGAUAUUGAUGCCGUGAUUUUAAUCACGGCAUCAUAGAAUUUUCCAUACAUCAGAAUUUUUGAAGCUGAUUAAAAAUGAGGAACAUUUUAAUAACUUACAAAGAAAAGUAAUUAAAAAAAAAACAAAAGUAAAAGGAUCGGGCCAGGCCCAAAAGACAACGGUGAUUCUCAUGUGCUGCUAAAGGAGAGUCAACCAUGGUCAAAGACGCAAGUGUGAAAAAAUGACACACUGUUACCAUGAGGACCGAGUUGACAUAUUUUGUAAACUAUUGAUAUAUUUUGAAAUAUUCUCCAAAGAACAGGGUCUGCAUUUUCCUAUUGGGCCAGGGGCCCAAGUUCGCAAAAUAUUCAUUUUGCGCACUAGUAAAGCCGUGCUACUGUGACAACCAAAAUUCUUGUGAAUCCCAAAGUUAAUUAAUUAAGAAGUGUGCUCUGUAUUUUUAAAUGUAAUUUUCUAUUCAGUUGAGGUUUUAGAGCGUAUUUGGAAAUUUAUUUGAGAAUCUAAUCUAAAAAAAUGUUUGAGUUGUCGAAUUAUCAUUUAUCAAAUAGUUUAUUUGAGUUGAUUUCCCCCCCCCCCCCCCCCCCAACAUAUUGGAUAUAAUAUGAGAGUAAAUUCUUAAAUAAUCACCUAUUCGUGGUCUUUAUAAGGUGUUAUUUAUUUAUUCACGAGUCUAUAAAACUAAUUUUAUGGGUUUAAUAGGGCCCCAAACCAAAAGUUUUUCCUUUUUUUUUUCUUAUUUUUAUUUACUCUUGAUCAACUUGCUCAAUAUAUAAAUUAUCCUGAUUCUACAUAAUUUUAUUAUUUAUUAUUGAUAAGGAGAUAACGUAAGUAAUUUAAUUUGGAUUUUUUUCCCUAACAGUACCAUUAAUUUGAAAAAUAAUGAUAUAGUUACAAAUUCUUUUACAAACUUAUUUUAUACAAAUUGAUUUAAUAUUAACUCAUUGAUUGAAUAAAAAUAUAAUAUAAUAAAAAUAAAUUAUGUAAAUCAAGAGAUAUUUAAUUUAAUCAAUUAAAUUAUGUCACAUCAGUUUAUAUAAAUAAAAUUUAUAUAAGAGUUUAUAGUUAUAUUAUUACUUUAAUUUGAAAAAAAAAAAGAAAAAAGAAAAAGGAAAUUACCAAAAUGGGGCUGCUCAAAUUUUAAAAGCAAAAUAUCGAAAUGGGAAACAAAAUCUUUUAAGAUUCGCCUUCGGCGACAUUUUGAGAUGGACUGAUAUGCAAACAUUAAUUUGCUAAAAACAGAGCAGCGGUGGUGUCUUCUCCAUGUAACUGCUGCAACUACUUCUCCAUCUUUCAUCUCUUUUCUUAAAAGUCUUAAAAAAAGUGUCUGAUCUCGUAAUCAUCCACAGAAAGAAACGUGUCGGCAAACAGCCGCUUAACGUGCGACACGUGUUCUUUUGUGAACAGAAAUGGAUUUUGCCAAAUGCAAAAGUGACAAACCACGGACAAGGACAACGAAAGGGACAAAUUACUUAUCAAUAUUUAUAUUUUAUUUUUGUUUCUUAAAAAAAUAUUUAAUUAAUAUAUUAUUUGAAUAAUUGAUUCCCCCCCAAUAAUUUCAUAUAAAAUUUGAUGUAUUAAGUGAUGAUUGGGAUAUAAUUUUAUUUAGAGGGGACAUACCGAAAGUAGGAUUAGGAUCAUCUUAUAAUGGGCUUUAGUCAUGAGCAAAAUUAGAAGAGCUCAUAUCACGUAAGGAUUCAAAGACUUUGUUUGGUAUGAUUUUUCAAAUAAAACUUAAUUAUGUAGGGUUUUUAUAAAUAAAAUUUUUACUUAAAAAAUUUUAGUUGUUUGGCUGUAAAUGAGAAUUUUUAUUAAAAAUUAUAAAAUUACUUUAAUAGACAAAUUUUUUAAGUUGCGUUAUAAAAAUAAUGAAAUAACAUUAUUAAAUAAGUAAAUGAUACUUUAUAUAUUUUAACAUUUAAAAAAAAUUUUAACCUCUACUCUCAAAGGUCAAAAUUAGAAUUUAUUCAGUAGAGGUAAAAUAAUUUAUUUAAUUUUUAAAAGUUCUACUAAAAAAAAAAAUUGAUAAAAACUUAUAAGAUUAAAUAAUCACUUAUGACCAUUAAAUAAGUCAUAUCAAAUAGAUACUAAUCUUUAAAUGUAACUAUUCCUUAUAUAGUUCGAGUAAGAACUUUUGAUUUUAUCUAAAAUCCGUUUUAUUAUUAUAUCUCAAGUUUGAAAGCAAAUCGUACUCUUAUACAAAAAAUGUGGCAAUAUAUUUUUAAAAAAAUUUUCAUUGCCAUUUUUUUGUAAAAUAAUAAAAUAUUCGAUUUUAAAUUGUCUUAAUUUUUAAUUCUCAUUGUUCGCCCAUCGCUUUAAACUUUAUUCGUUAAAAAUUAAAAUUUUGAGAAUAAACCAUAUUUUCCUACAAGUUUUUUCAAAUAUUACAUCACAAUUCAAUUGAUAAUAUAAUUAAAAGCUUUUCAAAACUUAUCUUUUAAGUCCCAUGACUCCGAAAUUAAAAGAAAUUUUACUCUAAAUAGUGCCUAUCUCCUGUCAUAUCUCUUCUUUGAAAAAAAAAAAACGAAAACAAAUAUAAAUAUUAAUAAAUCAAUUUUCACCUCAACCAAAAAAAAAUAAAAAUUUACAAAUAAUAAUUACUUAAAAAGAAAAAU